rnacentral:lncRNA from 1 species
UCAUAUUCAAUAGAAAAAUUCACAAUAAUUAUGCCCAAACAUCCACAAUUUAAAAUAUUUUGUCAAAAAUAAACUAAUGUCAAACCCACAUCCAUCAAAAUUAGUAUUUGUUACUACAUAACUCUUUUUUACUUCUAUACAAAAUAGUCUAUCAAAAAUUAAUACAACGAUAAAAGGAUAAGAAUACUAUGAAGCUAUAAAUCAACGUCAUCAUCAUUAGUAGGAGGAGGAUCAAGAACAAACCCUUCUUGUACCCUAAUACCACCAACACGCUCAAUAACUGCAAUGUCACAUACACUUAUGCGUCAGAUACACAAAAUAGAAAUUGCAUAUCACAUAAACUUAUACAUCAGAUGCAGUUAGGCCUAUGUAACAUAGGAAUAAAUCAACUUAAGCAAUAAUACAAUACAAAUGCAUAUUUGUAUUCCAAUAGUCACCAGAAUGUAGGAAUUACUUUACAUAGAAUAAAAGGUAUACCUCUGACCUUUCUCAAGCUCUAUAUUUAACCAUUGAAUGAAAUCAUAUAGUACAUGGCAUACUUCCAGAUCUAUAUUUAAUUUCUGAUGCAGCUUAUAAUCUUCCUGGUUAGAAAGUAAAGUAAUAAAAAUGCAUCAAUGCCCAUGCAACACUUCAAGAAAAAAAAAAGAUAAACAUAGACCUUAGUCCAACUGAAGCACUUUUCUUGCUUAGUUCCUUUCCAAUUUCAUCUUUUAAGUCUGGAUUGCCAUCAACUCUAAGCCCCUAAAAGAUAAAAUAGAAUUUAAAUACUUUAAUUAGUUAUCUUGAAAAUAGAAAACAAACAUUAGAAUUAUAACCAAAAUAGAUGUAGUUGGCUAAGCAUGAAUAACCUGGCAUAUGAAAAAUUAGUACAAGAUUAAAUGAGUCAAGCAGACAGUUGUAAAACAUGUUAUUAUGCACCUGAACUAAAUACUCUAAAUCCAGACAUACAUUUAGUUGUGCUCUCAUAGACUUCAUCUUAUUUUUUAGUGUUAUGAAUUAAGUUGCCAAUUCAAAAGAAAACAUUAUAAAAUACUUCUUUACCAAGCAUUCACCAUAUAGUCCUCACCUUAAUUGAACUUUAAAAAACUUAUCAAGCAUCUUGUGUGCAGCAGCCAGUCAAUUUAAAAUAAGGGAGUUUCUAUUUGAAAGAACCAAGUGAAAUUGCUUUAGCAAAUAAAGAUCAAGAAUCUUAUCACUUCUUAGAAAAGCUUAGCUACUAAAGUAGAGCAUUAAAUAUUCAUGAAAAAUUCAUUUAUUUUACACCAAAACAAAGUCUACUACUUAAUAAACUCAACUUGAUCUUCCAGAAUAUUUGAACCAUAAACCUUAGCUUGUGUCACACAGUCCAAAUCAAUCUAGCCUUGUAGAAAAUAAAGAAGAACACAGGUAGAUAUGUCAUAGAUUCAUCGAAGCAAAAAAUUAUGUAACAAAUUCAUAUUAGAUACUUUAGUUUCAGCAUGUACAUCAGUUAUAUUUGCAAUUGUAUUCAAUAUACCAACAUGCUUAGUAUUUUAGCACCCUUGACAAAUGACAAACCACAUCCCUCGUAAAAGGUAUCUAAAAGAAAUAGUUGAUGCAUAUUCUCUUCAAAUUAGUUCAACAAUCAAUCAUAAGUUAUAACUGAAGCUUAUCUGGCGAUUCGACAAUCUUAGAACGUAAAUUGUCAUUGUCAUUAACAGCUUGUACUAAUGCAAAGUCUAUAUUAGAAAUCUGAAAGAAGACCAAAUGCAAAUGGCAUAUUAGUCCAUAACACAAAUAUCUUUUUGAAACCCAAUAAUUGUCAUAUGGAUGUUCUCAAAUGAAAAAUAAUGAAAAAACAUAAAUAAAUUAUAGGUAGAACCAUCAUAAAGGAAAUGCUUACCUAAAAAUCAAUGAGUAGAUUGUGUAGUUGACUCAAGAUGCAUGAGAAGAAGGAACUAAAUAGAAUCAAAGAUGAGGUUUAGGCUAACCAAGACAAAAACUAGACUUAGCAUAAGAUACUGAUAUUACUAGUUUGUGAAUUUCUUAAACUGAUUAGCUUUUGAUAGGGGAGUAUAACAUGAACAUUUUUAAGUGUGCAUCCUACUUUAAUAGUAGCUUUUAACAUGCCCAGGUAGCCUUUCCACCAUUCUAUAUGUUGUUCCUAGUAUUGCAAAUACAACAAAGAAAUCAAUUCACGCAGAACCAGUCAUACCAAGUCUAAGUAACUUAGAUUAUUAGUGAUAAAGGUGCACAAAAGCAAAGUUCUUGUUCAAUUAAAAUGGUAAAAAAAAUCUUUAAAAAACUAAGGUCAUACAAUGAGAUAUUAAUUUAAGAGUAAUAUGAGAUGUUAAAAAUAAACCUUACAGCAUAUAGAAAAGUUGAAACUUUUGAAAUAUAACGAUAAGAGAAGUAAGACGCAUAAACUAAAAUGAAGUUAGUAAUCUAGGAGAUCUUAGUUUAGAAGGAAAUAAAAAAAGUCCAUUUUGGAGACAACUAAUAGUUUAGAGUAGGCUUUGCCAUUUUACAUUUUCAUUAUGUUUUUGGCAUUGUUCCCUUUUAUUUUGGUUAGAGUUUGAAUGUUGGCAUAUGGAUAACUGUGAGAUAUGGAUAACCUCAAGUAACAAAAACUCUUGAUUUGUCUUAAAAGAAAAUUUAAUCAUUACCGAAUGGUAAAGACCAUCUAGCCAACCUUAAUUAAUUGGGAGUUGAGACAUACUUGUUCUUAUUGUAAUCUUAAGACUUGUUGCUAAGUUCUAUAGUAGAGUACUACUAUAUACACUAGGGGAGGAAGCAACAGAGUCCCAUACUUUUAGCGCUGAUAUGUAAUUGGGCAGAAAUCUCAUACCUUGAUUAGGAAAAGAUCAUAAGUGGCUACAUUAAUUAAGUUGCUGGAACUAUAUAUGUGCUCGUUCAUUUGAAAAUGAAAUUCAAAAUCUAAUUCUUUUACCAAUCAAGUUAAACAUCUUUUACAAACUAUAUUUUUUAAAGGAAUAAUUGUUUAAAUUGUAUACUAAAAGAUACUGGGAUGCAGAAGACUCCAUACAUCAUUGAAUCUAUAGAUUAUCAACAAAGCGCUGAAGAUCAAAUACAUUCAUCCAACACUCAUCAUAUGAACUAUUAUAAGAAAACAACAUACCCCGUGUAAUCUUACAAGUUGGGUCUGUGGAGGGUAGAACAACCACAAUCUUAGUCCUACCUUAUGAAGGUAGAGAGGCCUUCUCUGAUAGACCCUCAUCUAAAGUAAAGCAUAUGAACCAUCAUAAUAAUACGACAACAACAACAUAGUUGGUGGAAUCUCACAAGUGUGGUUGGGAGAGGGUAGUAUGUAUGCAGACCUUUCCCAUACUUGGAAAGAUAGUAAGGCGGUUUCUGAUAGACCUUAGCUCAGGUAAAGAAUAUUAAAAAAAAAAUUAGAACUUCCUGAGCAUAGAAAAACACCCAAAUCACCUGAUUAAAAACCUAAAUCCCUAACAUACAGCAAAAAAUUAUAUUAUAAAACAACAAAAAACAAAACUUGGGUAUUUCAAGGAUUGGGGAAUGACCAAUCUUGAAAAAAAAAUCAAAUAUUUCUAUAAAUUCCCACAAUUAACUCCAAACAAAUCACAACUCCCAACUAAUUGAUACAAAUUUAAAAUGAAUAACCAUACAUACCCGAUGAACCCAAAAACCCUGCACUCUUUAACAACUACAGCUGAAACAAGAUUAUGCACGAUGUAAUUCAUGAAAAAAAUAUGUAUUCUUGAAAAUUAAUGACAGGGUGUUAUAGAUUUGUCUUUUGAUUUUGUUAUAAACAAUACUUAUAGAUUUAUGGAGAGUGUAUUGGGACAAUUAUGAGUGUUUUUGGAAAGUAAUGCAUUUAUCCUAGGAUUUUUAUAGAGAGAAGUGAGAGUCGUGGAUUUAGAGAGAGAAAGGAAAGUCGACAUAAUGAUAAGAAACCCUAAAAAUUAUAAAAUAUUGCGAUGAAUUUUUCUGUUGUUAAUGACAAAUAAAAAAUUUAUAAUGGUUACUGAUGAAAAAUUACGCUGCUUAAUCCGUUAUUACCAAUUGAUUAAAAUGAUGGCACAUAUUUGUUGCUAAAUUCAUCACAAAAUUAAGGCACCAAAUUUUCACGCCAAUAUUUGGCGAUGAAAAAUGAAAUUUAUUGUAGAUCCGUUGCUAUAUAAUAAAUUAAAAAGGGACUUGCUAUGUUCGCGACAAAAAUGAAUAUUUCGUUGUUGAUCCGUCGCUAUUCAGUGAUAGAAAGUGGUCUAUCGUUAAAUUUCAUCGCUAAAUAUUAUUUUUUUAUAGUGGGACCUAUUGAGAUGAGGGGGAAUUAUCAUUGUAAUGUCCAAUGAAGGUUCCAAUGUUACCUCCGGGUCUGGCGUUCUCAUUGUGGGGUUCAUGAUCAGUACAUAAUUUUCUAUUUUGGGGUUGGAGGGACGCAAGAUAUCUAUUGAACUUUUCAAGAGAUUUGGGGGACAAAUAAGAAUGAAUUUCUUCUCGUAUUUUUUGUUGUAGAUCAUUACUUUUAAAUCCUUUUGAACCAUUAUUUAUAUUCACGUUUUAUGUAUUAGUUUGAGUGCCUCAUCUAUUUCCUAUGUUGCUGUAUGAACUGUUCUUAGAGAAAAUGAGGUUAAAGAAUUGGGUACCUAAAAUGAGGAGGCUAUGUUGUUUGGAAUAUGGGUCCAUGUUGUAUCCAUCGAUCCCAUCAUCCCCAUAUCCUAGAGAAAUGUACCCACACUCUAUAUCAUUCCUUAAACCUAUCAGUGAUGAUAUAGGGGGUCUAUGUCCUAAAAAUUAGACAUGGCCGGAGAAAAGGUCAGGAUAUUGAACGGCACUGUAGGAGUUUCCCAGGUUGAGAUUUGAAAAAAUGGGAUGUUAGGGAGUUGGUAGUUUAUCAGUGGCUGCAACAUCAUCGACAUCUAUAGGUGGUCCUUAUAGGUCUCUGUGGCCCUUCUCAUGGCAUCCGAUGCUAGUGUGGCUAGUACAGCUGGGUUCUAUAGAAGGAUCAUCAUUUCUCCAUGCUCCAUUUAAACAUGAAGCGCCAAUGUGUUUCCCUGGAGACAUAGCUCAAUCUAGGAUAGUGGGUUGGGGUUUGGAGGGACUUGAGGUAUGGUAUGGGAACUAGUUAGAUUGGUGGUAUCAUUUUCUGGACUGGGAUGGGGUUCAAGUUAUAGUAGAACUGGGAUUUUAAGUUUUAGGAGUUAGAGCGAUGAAAGCUAAGUAGUCUUUUCAGCAUUUUUAGUAGGAUAGAGUGGAGUGGAGAGUGAAGUAGAAAACGAAGAGUGAGAAAUAGUAGAAGUGGUACUAGGAAUAUUUAUGUUAUUAAAAGUAGGUAUUAUGGUUCCAGAGACUUGAGAACUGGAGUUAUUUAUAGUGGGUCCUUCACUUUCCAAAUCUAUCUCUAAAGAUAUUUUUAUGGGGUUACUAUAAUUAGGGCCAGAUAACUUUUGGCCAGCUAGAAAAAGUGACUUUUGACCUUGUGAGUUUGUUGUUGGGGGAGUGGACAUGUUAAAAGGCUUAUAGAGGGGAGUGGGGUCUUGAAUAUAUGGACAUCCGCUUUUAUGAGUUAGCAUGACAGGAUAGUUGUUGCCGUGUCUGGUGGGGUCCAAGUAAGAGUGAUUAAAGAAAGAGGUGGUGUAUUUUAGAGGUACAGAUGUAAAAUCCCUAGGAGGAAUUCUAGGGACCACAUUGGCUAUAGGAAUAGGGGGCAACCUAGGGCUAGGGUUUUCCGCCAAAGCAACAAAAGAGUUAUUAGUGGUAACCUUUUGUUGAGCUUAAAUAAUAUUCUGCAAAAGAACAUCAUGAAGAUGUGUGUUUUCAAACUUACCAGCCAUAUUGAUGGUAGAAGUCUGCGAUUGGACUUUUCUACAUAUUCAAAAAGUUGAGUAUCUAGGAACUUACUUGUGUGUGCUUGAAAUAAUUUAACAUUAAGACUGUAACUGGAAGGCUGUUGUGGUCCCCGUUGGGUAGAAGAUUUAGGCUCCUUAUUUCUUUGUUGAGGAUGGUUUUUUGUUUUCCUCCGACAUUGGAAUUGUACGAUCUCCCAUUUGUCCUCUUGUACUUGCUUUGACAAUUUAGAGAUAGGAUUUGUUGGUUCCUUCUUUUGAUUUUCAGUUCCAGCGGAGACCAUCGGGGACGGACAAUUUUGUUGCUUAUGGCCGAUACAACCACAGGACUUACAUAAGCUUUCUUAUCCUUCGUAAAGUAUUUAUUUUUUCAGUGUCCCAAUGUAAAUGUGUUUUUGAAUAGGUACUCCCAUUAUCUAUUUCUUUAUUUCUCUCUUUUUUAAAACUUAUUUGUCUCAACCUUUAUUUUUCUUUUACUUUUUUUCUCUUUUCUAUUUUUUUUUUCUUAAAUAUUAUCUAUAUCUUCAUUUCUCUUUUUUUAUAUUUUUUUUAAUUCAUUUGUCUCAACCGUUAUUUUUCUUUUCUUUUUUUGACUUUAUCAUUACUCUUUUCUCUUUUUUAUCAAAUUUUAAUUUUAUUUUUUGGUUCUCAUUUUAGUUUUUGUUAAUCUUUAUUUUUUUUUUAAUUCUUCUCUUUUUUAUUCACCUUUAUAUUUUUCUUCUCUUUUUUUCUCAAUAUUUUUCUUAUGUUCUCUUUUUUGUUUCUUCUCUUUUUUCUUUUUUCUCAACUUCUGUUAUAUUUUGAUAAUAAAUAAAAAGUUGGAUAACCCAUAAGGAGAUCUUCAUUCUUUGAUAUCAAAGUAAAUUUAAGGGAAUGACUUAUUGGUUGGAAGUCCUUUGGAAUAAGCCAUGCCCCUAAGACAGUAGUUAUAGAACAUCUCAUAAAUUAGACCUACUGUAGUAGUGUCAAGUCUUGCACGUGGGGCAUAACUUAUUGUUUUAAAAUUCUUGAGUUAAGUCUUGCCUUUAAGGCAAGAGUAUUAGAACAUCUCCUAAAUCUAGACAUAGUAUGGUAGUGUUGUUUUUUUUAGAGGUCUUUGGGUUCUGUAUUGUCUUAGAGACAAGACUAAUAGAGCAUUAUAUAAAUCAAGAUACAUACAACAUGAUGGUGUCAACUCUUGUCCAUGAGGCAUAACUUGUGGACUAAAUAUUGCUUCUAAGGUAAGAGUAGUAGAAUAUCUCAUAAAUCAAGACACGAUGUGGUAAUCUCAACUCUUGCCCAUGGGGUGUAACUUGCCAUUUGAAAGUCUUUGGACUAAGUCAUGCCUCUAGGAGAGUUAUAGAACAUCUCAUAAAUGAAGACAUAAUCUGGUAGCAUUAACUCUUAGCCAUGGGGCAUAACUUAUUGCUUGAAAGCCCUUGAUUUAUAAAACAUCUCAUAAAUUAAGACACAAUGUGUGGUAUCAACUCUCUCCCAUGGAGCAUACUUUAUCGUUAAAAAGUCCUUGGGCUAAUUCUUGUCUCUAAGGCAGGAAUUAUAGAGCAUCUCAUAAAUCAAACAUAAUGUGGUAGUAUUAAUUUUAUCUAAGGAGUGUAACUUGUUGUUUGAAAGUCCUUGAGUUAAGCUCUGCCUCUAAGGUAAGAUUUAUAAAAUAACUUAUAAAUUAAAGCUAGUGUCAACUCUUGCCCAUGGGGUGCAACUUAUAGCCUGAAAGCCCUUGGUGUAAGUCUUGCCUGUAAGGAAAGAGUUAUAGAGCAUCUCAUAAGUCAAUACACUGUGAUUGUGUUAAAUCUUGUCCAUGGGGCAUAACUUGUUAUUUGAUGGUCCUUGGGCUAUGUCUUGCCUCUAAGGCAAGAGUUAUAGAGAAUUUCGCAAGUAAAAACUACAAUGUGGUAGUGUUGACUCUUACCUAAUGUACGUAACUUGUUGUUUGAAAAUUCUGGAUAAGUCGUGCCUCUAAAGAAAGAGUUGUAGAACUUCUCAUAAAUCAAGACAUAAUGUGUUAGUGUCAACUCUUGUCCGUGGGGAAUAACUUGUUGUUUGAAAGUUCUUGAGCUAACUCGUCCCUCUAAGGUAACAGUUAUUGGACAUCUCAUAAAUCAAAACACAAUGUGUUAGUGUGAACUCUUGCCUAUGGAACAUAACUUGUUGUUUGAAAGUCCUAAUUCUUGUCUCUAAGGAAAUAUUUAUAGACCAUAUCAUAAAUUAAAAUACAAUGUGGUAGUGUCGACUCUUGCUCAUGGGUCGUUACUUAUUGUUUGGAAGGAAUCGAAAAAAACAAAAGGAAAAUAAUAAAGUUGCAAAAAAAAUGAAGAAAAAAAUUUAAAAAAAGAAAAGAAAAAAGUAUAGGAGUUGAGAGGAUAAAUAAAAAAUCAAGUUUGAAAAAAAAUAAAAAAUAAAGGCUGAGAAAUUUUUUUUAAAAAAAAAAAAUAGAAGAAAAAAUAAAAAUUAAAGAAAAAAUAAAACAAGUAAGGAUUAAGAAAUCUUAAAGAGAAAAAAUAAAAAUAAAAGUAAAAUAAAAAAGAGAAAAAAAAUAGAAGUUGAGAGAAAAAAAGGAAAAAAGUAGGUGUUGAGAUAAACUAAAAAGGCAAAAAGAAAAAAAGAAAAAGAAAAAAAGAAAAAGAAAAAAUUAAAAUUAAAAUAAAAUAAAAAAGAGAUAAAAAAAAUAGAAGUUGAAAGAUAAAUAAGUAUGAAGUUAUUUUAAACAUUUGAGAUAUGGAGAAGCAAAUAAGUAAUUGUUCUAUAUAUAAAAAAGAAACGAGACUAGUUUUAUAGAACUUUUGUUAUGGAGGACAAAAAAACAAAGCCACCAUUUAUAAGGGCAGUUUACCCUUAGUGGACUCAUAUUAUUUGUGUAUCAUCUUUUCAUGUGUCUAUGCAUAAUUUGCUAUUGUUGUCUCAAGUUUUGAUGAUGAUUAGAUGAUACUGGAGGACCAGGACCCUUGAACACUUUGCCCAGGUACGACUAUCACAUCUCUGCAUAAUUUUUUCUGCUAGAGCAACAACUGUGUAGGUACACAGUGUACCAGAUAUUAAACCUGGUCCAAUCAAAAUUCUAUCAUAAAUUUUACACUACUAUAAAUACUUAAAGUUGAUCUUUUCUUCAUAGGUUUUGCAAAUUUGAGAAUUCCAUGGUAAGGGAGAAAACUCUCGUCGAGUUCAAGUUCUAAAUAUUUACUGCUUAGAGUGUAGGGUUCCUGAGUCAUGCUUUGUACCUAAUUUUGUAAAACCCCUUAAAAGUUAGAUCAUUUUAUUUUAGCUACCCCGCAUGCGUAAUGUCAAUUUUUGACUUGAAUAAUAUUUAGGGAUGUUAAAAAGGUGUUUUGGAAAAAUUUUAAUUUUUUUGGAAGGGGUUCGGGGUCAUUUUGGAACCCCGAGGCAGUCCGCGAUAAUUCCAUGUCACAGAGGUUAACCUCCACAAUAUCGGCGUGGCACGGAGGCUAACCUCCACAAUAUUGGUGUUACACGCCAGUGUUUUAAUUUCAUCCAGUUUUAUUUUUUUACUUAGGGAGAGGUGCUUUUGGUCUUUUUAGCCCUUGUACAAUCUUUAAACAUCAAAUAACCUUAUUUCCUUCCAUUUUCAAAGAUUAUAUCACUCUCUUUCUCUCUUAAACUCAAACUGAAUAUUCAAGGGUUUUAUAGAGAAUUCAUCAUUUGGGCUCCAAACUUCAAAUUGACUUUAAUUUUUUGUAUAUUUCAAGCAUGUUUCUCUUUCCUAAACUUGAAUUUUACAUUGUGGCAUUAAUUGAAUGAAUUUUCAUGUGAUUUAACUAUGGGUUUUGAAAUUGGGUUGAGGGAUUUUCGUUAUUACUGAUUGAAUUACUUAUCUUGUAUUUUGAAUUGAUUAUUCAUGCUUUAAAUUAAUGUUUUUUAGGAAUGAAAUGGUACAUUACUUAAAUGGUUGGGAUGGGGGCUUGGAUCUCCCCAAAUUAGAUGAAUUUUAGAUUAGAAUUGCAUUAACCUCAACCAACUUAUAAAUUAAUUUUUAUUAGGAAAAAUUACAUGGUUUAACUUAUUUUUGAACCCAAUGUAUUGCAUUAAUGGAAAAGUGGAUAUAAAAAUGAAUUUGGAUGGCCUUGGUGGCCACGGUGUUGAUUUUUAUGGGAAUUAGGAGUCACCGAGGUUAUGUAGAUUUGUUUGGCAUAUUUUAUUUAGCAUGCAAUCAUAUUGGUAUGACGACACCUAGUGGUAAAUGCCUUAAUAAAUGACUCUGAGGUUACUGGUUGGUUUUAUGUGCAAAUUAUUUUAAUUUGGGCUUAAAAGGGGAUUGUGUAGCUCACGAUGAAGGUGUAAGUCCCAGAGGGACAAACACAGAAAACUACAUUUGUCGAUAUUAGGAGUCAUAUAAUAUGACUAUCUACUUGGUACACACUUGAUAUAUAUAUUUUUGGAUGGCUAUUUCCUUGGUGGCUUUAGUUUUCCCUCGUUUUUUCCUCGAUUCGUAUGGCUAACAUGCACUGGGGCCCUUUCAACAUGAGGAGUUGAACUCAUAUAGCCCAUGGAUACCUUUAGGAUGGAUCAAGUUACACAAUUCAGGUUAAAUCUUUACACUAUCAUGUGCAUGACCCUUUACCCCAUCCCGGCAUCCUAUAUAUGUAUAUAUAUAAAUGUGUUUAUGUGAUUUUGAUUGAUUUUGGACAUGACAUUAUUUUAUCACUUUUCCUGAGUUAUAUGUCAAUGUUUAUCCCACUGAACGUCUUAGAAUGCUAUAUCAUUUCAUAAUGUAGGGUCUAAAAAUUUUUCUGUUGCUCCUAUGCGGUGUUAGGUUGUUGAGUGCAUCUGUCAAGUUUUUGUGAAGUGGUGAGCCUCCAUCCAUCAGAAGGUCUUAUUAUUUUACUAUUCUUUAUUUAUUAACCGAGUACUUUUGGAUUCUUGUUGGUCAUAGUUGGGGGCAUGACCCGACUUAGAUAUUAUUCUGGUUUUAGAGGCUUUUGUCGAUAAAUAUGGGUUGUUAUUGUUUUGCCUCUUAGUUUUCAUUUGAUUUAUCUAUUCAUCUCUUACUACUAUUUGAUUAGCUUCCACUUUAUUAUUAUUAUUGUUCCCUUGAAGUUAGGCUAAGGGGUAGUCUCCGAUCUAUAGUAGGCAUGAGAUAUCCAUCACGGCCAAGCUCGAGGUUGAGUCGUGACAGAUUUACUCAACGAUUAAGAGUAAAUUGUUUUGUCUAUUAUUGAAUCUCUUUGGUAGAGUUACCUAAUUUAUUGUUGGUUACAGUUAACCAUUACCUAGAGGUAAAUUGACAUAGGUGAUUGUAAUAGAGUUAUUACAAAUUGAGGAACUUAGAGCUGAGUUCUAAGAAAGUCUGUAAUCAAUAUGAGUUUUGAUUAUGGUAGAGAUUGAGAGUCUAUAAGUGCAGAUCGUGGCUUUUCCUCCCUUGGGAAAGGAGUUUUCCACAUAAAUCUUUGUGUUCGUGUACUUCCUACAUUUUUGUGUUUAGAGUUUUAUUGCCAUGCUACUCAUCUCUGGGACCUGGUCCCUUAGUAGUGGUGUAAACCCCCCCCCCCCCCCACAUUUCAAAAAUUAGUAUCAUAGCAAGGAAACUCUAAAAGGUUAACACCUAGAGUGACUUCUUGAUCAUAGUUCACAGUCUAAUCUGGAGAAAUAACAAUCUACUACUAGGCCAUGCCAUCUCAGUAGGUAAUACUGUGGGUUGUGGAAAACUAGGAUUAUGAUUUCAUUAUAGUUGAGGAUAGUGAGCUAAUUGAUAUGAUACUUGAUGGUCCUCACAUGCUAGUAAGGAAAGUCAAAAAAGGAGACAUAACUAGAAUGGUUGAUAAAACCAGGAGAGAAUAUAAUGACAAAGAUCGUAAGAAAAUUAAAAAGAAUUUCAUGGUCAAGAAAUUACUGGUGUGUGGGAUAGGACCAAAAUAAUAAAAUUGAAUUUCUACUUACGAAAAUGCCAAAGAAAUUUGGGAUUUCCUGAUAACAUCUCAUGAAGGAACAACUGAUGUGAAGGAGUCAAAAGUAGAUAUGUUGACCACUCGAUAUGAAGCCUUUUCCAUGAAGGAAGGGGAAAACAUUCAAAAGAUACAUACAAGAUUUACUUAAAUCACUAAUGAGUUUCAUAGCCUUGGUGAGGUGAUUCCUCUUUAUAAACAAGUUAUGAAAAUCCUGGGAGUUCUUCCCAAGUCUUGGGAAAGCAAAGUUGAUGUUAUUACAAAGGCUAGAAACCUAAAGAAACUUACCAUGGAUAAAUUGAUUGGAAAUUUAAAGACUUAUGAAUUGAAGAAAAAACAUGGUCAAGAAAAGAAAAAGACUAAAAAGAAAAAGUCACUAGAAUUAUAAGCCUCAAAGUUUGAGACUAGUGAGGAUGAUGUUGAUGUGGUCUACUUGGCUAAGAAUAUUGUGAGGGCAAAGGAUUGGUCAGUUUCAUAAAAAAGGAUGCAGCAGCAAAAAAGGAAGGUACUAUUGAAGUCUGGCACAAAUAUGGAAACCUAGGAAUUUCAUUAAAGAUUACCCUAUUCAUAAAAUGUACUAUCAAUAGUAUCUAAAGUCGGGGGGACAAGGGAAAGAAGAAGGAAUAGGUUCCUUAGAAGUCAAGAAGGAAGGUUGUUGCUAAUUAUGUAGUAAACAAGCCCUGGUUGUUUGGGCAGAUAGCUCAACUGAAUCUGAUGGUAUUUAAAAAGACUGAGGAUGUCUCUAUGUUAGCUGUGUAAGAUAGUGAAACCUCCUACAACUCUCAUUUUGGUCUCAUGGGAAAAUUAGAUGAUGAAUAAAAGGAUGAGGUAACUCUUUUUGAUAUUAAGUAGAACUUGAAUAAUUAUUCCCCUAAGAAGAUAAAGAAACUUGCAAAUAUAUUGCUUGAUUUUGUGUGUGAACUUACUACUAAGAGGGAUUUACUUGAAUAUAAGGUUAAAAAUCUAGAACAUGAGAAACUUGCCUUAAUAAGUCAGUUUUCUGAAGUAAGAGAAAAGUCUUUAAAACUGAAAUCUGAAAACAAUGUUUUGAUGGAUCAACUAAAGAAAAUAGAUGAUUCUGAUGCGAAGGGAAAGAAUGAAGCUUCAAAGCUUCAAAUUUAUCUUGAAAAAUAGUUGAAGAAUUCUCAAAAGCUUGUUAUGAUUGCACUUCAUAAGAAUGAAGAAUUGGAAAGGGACCUGGUCCAUAUAAAAGAAGAUCUUAAUAAAUCCCUAAAAUAGACCACAUCCUCACAGAUCCUUGCUAAUCAAAUUAGUUGGAGGAUCAAUAAUGGUAGAGGUAUUAGAUAUUAGUACAAAUCUUAUGCUCGUAAGUCUCAAGGAAAGUAUCUCUGUUACUAAAAGUAAAGCCAACAAUCCUUUAUGCACUUACUGUGGAAGGGAUGGUCACUUGAGGGAGGAAUGUCAAGGAUAACUUAGAGUUAGAAUGCACACUACUAGAUAUGUCCAUCAUAAGAAGUCUAACCCUAAAUGAUCUAACUCCUUGAUGAAUUCUAGGAAGAACAACUACCUAGCUAGAUCAAGAAAGAUGUGAUCACUCUCUUAUCUUUCUUUUGGGAACUCGGACUUAAGUAGGUUCCCAAAUCUAAUAAAUGGCCUCUAUAUGAAGGUGGGAGUAAGAGAAGGAAGUCAAAGCUAGUUCAUAGAUAGUGGAUGUUCUAAGUAUAUGACUGAAAGUACUGACUAUUUUCUCUCAAUCAAGGCACUUUAAGGUGAAGUGUCUCUUUUGAAAAUGUAAAGAAGGGAUAUAUCCAUGGUGUUGGAAAGAUAGGAAAAUCCUUAAACCAUACAACUGAGGAUGUGUAUUAUGUAAAUGUUCUAAAGUAUAGCCUUUUAAGUGUAUCUUAAAUUUGUGAGAAAGGAAAUAAGGUGAAGUUCUUAACUGAUGGUGCCUUGUUUUGAUCUGAAGACUAGAAAGGUUAUCCUAAAAGAUAAAAUAUGUAAAAAUAUGCAUGUAUUUUAUUUAGACACUAUGGAUGACUCUGAACUAACCUGCUUAAGUGCUCAAGGUGAAAAUAUUGAUCUAUGGAAUAGAAAGUUGAGGCAUGUAGGCUCCUCACUACUCAACAAACUGGUCUCAAAGGACUUGGUCUAUGGUAUUCCAAAGCUACCAUUUUUAGAAAAGAAGGUAUGUGAUGUCUGUGUCAAAGGAAAACAAACAAUAUCUUUCUUCAAGCAGAAGAAGCAGGUAAGUACUUCAAGACCACUUGAAUUGUUGCACAUGGACCUAUGUGAAUCUGUCAAAGUCCAAAGUAGAGGUUAGAAAAGAUAUGUGUUUGUUAUUAUGGAAGACUAUUCCAGUUCACCUAGACCAUAUUCUUAAGAGCUAAGGAUGAGACUUAUGAAGUACUUAUGGUCUUUGCAAAGGAAUUUCAGAUGAAACUGAAUUACAAUUGUUGGAUUCGGAUUUGAUCAUGGAACUAGAGAGGAAAACUCCAAAGUUGAAGAAUAUUGUGAUAAAAGUGGCAUCAUAACUUCUCCGCUCCAAAAACUACUCAUCAAAAUGGAGUGGUUGAAAUGAAAAAUAGAACUCUUAAUGAAAUUUCUAGGACAAUAUUAAUUGAUAGUGGUUUUCCAAAACAUUUUUUGGGCUGAAGCUGUCAAUACUAUUUGUUAUGUGACAAAUAAAUGGCUAAUCAGAUCACUCCUGAACAAGAAUCCAUAUGAAUGUGUUAUCAACAACAAGCCUAAACUUGAUUAUUUUAGAUCCUUUGGGUGAAAAUGUUUUGUCCUAAAUAAUAGAAGAAUGAUCUUUUGGAAAUUUGACUCUAAAAGUGAUGAAGUUGCAUUUGUAGGGUACUCAUCUAUAAGUAAAGCUUAUGGAGUCUUCAACAAAAGGACAUUGUGUGUGGAAGAAAGUGUAUAUGUUGUUUGUGAUGAAUCUGGAAAGCUAAAAGUUUCUAUUGGAGGUAAAGAUUCUGAUGUAGAAAAGCUCAUUCCUAUUUAAAUAGAUGAUAAAGAAGAAGCUAAAUUUCAAGAACAGAAAGAUAUAGUUGGAAAUGAAAGGUGAUAGUGAAUUAGGUCCUUGGUUGAUGAAUCCAAAUAAAGAAGAGGAACAUCAAAAAAAGUAUUCUCAAAAUCCUCAAGGAUCUAGUCCCAGCAGACCUUACCCAAGAAGAUGAAAUUGAAAGCAUAAAUCUUCUCACCCCCUUGAAAAUUUGAACUCUCCUUUGGAAUCUGGAAUACGAACAAAAGCUCAAGACAUGAAUUUUAUGGAUUCCUCAUCUUUUCUAUCAUAAAUUGAGCCCAAAAUGUAAAGAAAGCCCUAAAAGAUGAUAACUAGAUUAAUUCUAUGCAAGAAGAACUUCAACAAUUUAAAAGGAUAAAAGUCUGGCACCUGGUCCCCAGGACUAUUGACAGAAUAAUCAUUGGGACAAAAUGGGUGUUAGAAACAAGAAGGAUGAACAUGGCACUAUCAACAAAAAUGAAGCAAAGCUUUGUGUUCAAGGAUAUAAUUAGAAAUAAGGUAUUGACUAUGAUGAUACAUUUACUCCUAUUACAAGAAUGAAAGCUAUUAGGAUUCUAUUUUUUAUAGCUUAUUUGUGUUUCAACUCUUCCAAAUAGAUGUCAAGAGUGACUUUUUAAAUGGAAAUUUUAACGAAGAUAUUUAUGUCAAAUAAUCUCCAUGUUUUGAGGAUGUAGAUUUUCCACAUCAUGUGCUCAAACUAGAUAAAGCUCUUUAUGGACUGAACUAGGAACCUAGAGCUUGGUAUGGGAGAGCUUUAAAGUUCUUUUUGGAAAAUAGCUUUAAGAGAAGAAAAAUUGACAAUACUCUCUUUCUGAAUUCUUAAGGUGAUAACUUGCUAAUUGUCCAGAUCUAUGUUAAUGGCAUAAUGGAUGUGCAAAAUUGCUAGUUGUGUAGAUCUAUGUUGAUGGCAUAAUGGAUGUGCAAAAUUGCAAGAUCUAUCUUGAUAACUUGCUAAUUAUGAAGAUCUAUGUUGAAGGAUUUGUAAAAUUAAUGGGAAGUGAGUAUGAAAUAAGCAUGAUGGAUGAAUUGAGCUUCUUUCUAAGCCUACACAUUAAACAGACCUCACAAAGGAUAAUGAUUUGUUAGGAAAAAUGCAUCAAAGAGCUGCUGAAGAAAUAUAAUAUGGGAGAUGCCAAGCCAAUUGAUAUUCAAAUUGGAACCAAUUCAAAGAUUGAUAAUGAUGAACCUAGUCCCUAAAUAAAUGAGACCAUGUAUAGAGGGAUUAUUAGAUCUUUAUUAUACCUCACUACAAGCAUACCAGAUAUUGUGUUUAGUGUUGGUAUAUGUGCUAGGUUUCAGGCAUGUCCAAAGGAGUCUCAUCUAAAAAUUGAAAAUAAAACUCUCAGGUAUCUAAAAGAGAAGGAGGACCUGGUCCUGUUCUAUCCAUCUGGAGGUAAUUUUGAUCUAAUAGAACAUGUUAAUUAUGAUUAUACUGAGUAAUUGGUGGAUAGAAAAGGUAUUUCAGGAAUAGCUCAUUUCCUAGGUUCAUCUCUAAUUUUUUAGGGAUCUAAGAAACUAAAUUCAAUUGUACUAUCUACUGAUGAAGAUGAAUAUGUGGUUGCAACUUCUUGUUAUGCUUAGUUAUUAUGGAUCAAACAGCAACUAAAGGAUUUUGGGAUUGUUUCUGAUGCCAUUCCUCUAAUGUAUGACAAUACAAGGGCUCUAAACAUAACUAAAAAUCUAGUGUAGCAUAAAAGGAUAAAGCAUAUUGAGUUGAAGUGUCAUUUUUAGAGAGACAGUGCUGAAAAGGGGCCAUUUGUUUGAAAUUUUGUAAUAUUGAAGAUCAAGUAGCUGAUAUCCUCACAAAGGCUCUUCACAAGGAGUAAUUUUUGAAGAAUAAGUUGAGGUUGGGUUUGAUAAAGAUAAAUUAACCUACUUGAUGAAUCAAUUUCCUCUAUUCAUUGGAUAUUAUAAGGAGACAGGUAUCCUUGAUGAAAUCUAUGCUUUUUAGUCUAACUCAGUACCAUACCUUUAUAGGUAUAUAUUCAUGGUGAGCCAUUUUAAAGGGGAACAUAUGAGAUAGACACAAUAUAAAAGAUUCACUCAAACAAGGGAAGGACUUUAUCCCAUCUCACAGGUUAGUAUCAUUAAUGUGCUUCUUAAAAUUUGCAUAAAGUCUUGUUUGAAAAACCAUGUCCUUUCCCACAUGUCUGUAAACUAUCAAAUAGCUGAAGAAAAAAAGGUCGCACCUAUAGGGACCAAACAUGUUACUCUUUAAUUCUAAGCGUUGCACCUUUUCUUUGUCUUUAAAAAUCAAAUCAAUUUGUUUUCCUUACAUAUUUAAUUUCCAAAAUUAGCAAAAAAAUUGAAAUCUAUUCCUUCUUAGAAAAUUCUCUUGUCUUAUUUCACACCAUCCUCAAGGACUUCAAAUUGCUGACAACAACUUAACUUCAAGCCCCUCAAAAGACUCAAAAAUUGUUCAAAAUCCUUCACCCUAGUCUAAAAAUACUCCUAUUGUAACCUCUACUCCAUCAGUGUCUAUGACUGCAAAAGAUCUUCCUUAAAACCCCCUUCAAGACACUAAGUCCAUUCCACCCUCUGUACUCUCCCUUGAAAUACCAGUUGCAGACUCAUAUUCUUUACCAACUUCCGUGGAUGAGUCUACUAUGGAAUAAAUCCUAAAAAUAGUAGAACCCUCCUCUAAGACUACCUUAAUGGUUGACCAAAGUGAAGUAUUUAGGUGACCCAUAGAAAUUGAGUUCCCUUAUAACCCCAACCCUUUAAAGAACCUACAAAAGGAUGACCACUCCAAGACUCUGAAUGAACCUGUUUCUCCCACUCCAGCUUCCUCGAACCCUAUUUGUACGCAACUCUUUGAUGAAUAUCUACCAAUAAAAAAUCAAACCCCUCUUAUUGUGAAUUGGUCGAAGAUGAUUGGGUUGCUGAGAACUUUACAUUGUUAUCAAAUGACUCUAGGGAGAGUUCUUUUGGUCUGGAAGAUCAAGUUAUUGGUAAUAAAUAUGGAGAUAUAUAUCCUGAGGCUAUUGGCUUAUUAAUUCCUCCUCCAAAUAAAGAAAACUUGAUUGAUGAGGAUAAAUUACCCUUAAGGUGGUUUGUACAAAGGCAAAGAGGUAUCAAAGGAAAAGAGAAGAUGGCAGAGACAGGGAAAAAAACUAAGAAGUAUAAUACAUGAAAGCCUUAAAAAAAGCUUAUAGGGGAUGCUAUGAAGGCAAAUAAGUUGGAAGCUAUUAAAAGAACAAGGUUAAAGAAAGGGACUAUGAUUGAGGAAAAAAAUAUUGAAGUGGUUGAUGUUAGAGAGGGUGAUAAUGAGGUUGACCCUAAUGUUGCUACUAUAACAGAAAGGAGGAAAGAAGUGGAGGAUGAAGGAAGAACUAGGUUCUACCCAACAAAAUCAAGGAGUCUAACUAGUAUGAGAUAAAAACACAUUGUUAUGAAAAAGAAUAAAAUAAUUGUGGGACCUGGUCCCAAGAAGAGGAAAGUGGCUGAAGAUGAACCUAUUAGUGGUUCUAAAAGAAUAAAGGUGGAGGAAGAUGAGAAGAGUAUGACUAGGGAACAAAGAAAUGAGACUCUAAAACUCAGAAAGUGCUGACUAGGAGAGUUUUUAACUCUAGGAUAUUUAAGAAACCUGGUAUCAUAGAGUUAGUUAAGUAUCUUAGGCAUCGGGGAUGAUUACACCUUCAAGAGGAACCAAUUCCCUCUGUUUUUAAAGGUGAAGUAAGACAAUUCCACUAUACAAUAAAGUUCUCAGAUGGCGGGCUAAAUUUGUCUGCAUUAGUCCAAGGAAAGAAACUAAAACUAGACUAAGAAGUUCUGGGAAAAAUUCUAGAUGUUCCCAUUAGUGGUGUGAAAGCUGUUUCAAAACAACAGCCCUCAACUGAAUUUAUGGUGGGUGCUUCAAAAAUAGGGGAACCUCUAUUGCAGGUGUGAGAAAUAAAUUUCUCAAGAGUUUCAAUUGGUAUUUGAAUUUGUCAACAAAGUUAUCUUUCUUAGGUCAAAGAAGAGGACUAUUGCUUCUGUUAUGGACCUAUAUGUGAUUGAAUGCCUUGGUAAGUUUUGAUUGAUCAGCUUACUUACUUUGAUGAUUGAACAUAUGUAUAAGAUUAUCUAUGAGGAGGAGGGAAGACAUGGUAUGCCUUAUAGAUACUUCUUGAAUAGGGUAUUUGAUCACAUUGGAGUUGUUGGUGAAAAGGGAAUUCCUAUAAUAGUAAAAAAUAUUUAGUCUAAUAAUAUUAAUUGAAAAUUAAUGUGUAAAAGGAAAAGUAGGGACCAUGUCCCAGGUGUCAGAACGGUUGGUUGUACAAAAAAAUUUAAGCAAAGAAAUGGAGGAGAUGAGGAUUAGUUUGGAUGCUAAGGAUGCAGAGAUUGUGCAAUUAAAGAUGAAUAACUAGCAGGUCUUCUCUGAGGGACUAGGUGUUGCUGAAGAACUUAGAGAAGAAAAUGCAAAACUUAAGGAAAAGGUCUUAGCACUCAUAAAGGAGAUUAAGGGUUUAAUGCAGAAGUAAAGGACCCAACGAAGUAGCUGUUGAACCCUCAUGUUGCAGAGAGUGCUAGGAUGGAAAUACUUUUGAAGUCCCUGUCCUCAAAACCUCCAUCUACCUAAGCGCCCCUCCCCCCUUGUGUUAUUUUUACUUUCUUGAUUCUAGUGACUUUUUUGGGUCAAGAAAUUUAUGUUAAUUUUCAUUUCACUGUAAUGGUACUUGCCUAUCUUUAUGAAUGAAAUUAUAUUUUGUGUAUAUCAACUAUCUCUCCUCUUUAAGUUAUUCAUUUAUGUUGUUGCCCUAGUGGCCAGAGCUAAUCAAUUUGUGCUUAUUAAUAUCUUGGUAAACUGUUCUUACUUUUUUUUAUGCCAAAAGGGGGAACAUUGACUUCACUAUGAUACCAAAUGCCUUAUAGCCUCUCAUCCAUAAGUGUGGCGUGCUACACACCCAUGCACAAGACUCUACUCGAUGCAGCUUUCAAACUUUCUAGGACACUUUAAUACCUUAGGCUCUGAUACCAAGUUUGUAGCAACCCGAGACUACCCCUAGUCGUCACACGGUGCUUAUAGUCUCAAGGGACCACGAGCUAACCCAUGAGUUGGUACCUGCUGUGAGCACUGAAUAACAUGAUCAUAAAUUCAAAAGAAUAUUGACAUGCCAUAUGGUUGUAAUAACUAAAUUUAAAACUAAAAUAUGAUUCUAUAAAAACAAAUGACUGAAUCUAAUAAAAUAGUGAUAAACUGGAUAACUAACUGUAAUAUCUGAAUACUGAAUAACUGACUCUAAUGACUGAAAAUCCUCUGAAACUAACUGACUGAAUAUAAGUUGAUGGGAUAGGCCCCAACUAACUACUAACUGAGACAUGAUAUAAAGUAAGCCUGUCCUCGAAGUAUGAGGACUCACACUUCUACUACUGAGGAUCUGAUAAAUCUAAUCGUGAGCCAGGAACUGAGCAUCAGAACCUAUGAUAUAAUACAUCAUAGCUCAUAAGAAAAAGUAUUUGAUCAGUACUUUGAAUGUACUAGUAUGCUAAAUGAAGUAGGUUGAUAUGCAUGGUUUCAUGAAUAGAACUAAUAAUUAACUAGAUAUGCAUGUAAAGCAUGGAGUACUGAAUAAAGAGCAUGGAAUCUGUAGAUACUGAAAAUACAUGAAAGUCUGCAACUACUGAGGAUGCAUGACCAAGCAUAUAACAUAAACAGAGUAAAAUUUGUAAAUUGAAAUACUGAAAUAACUGAAAUCUAUAUGCUUUUGUCAAACAAAACUAAGUCUGAAUAACUGAACUGAGAUUGUAACUGAGACUAUAUCUGAGACUGUGGGAGGUAUCAUCUAACCGACAUUCCCUAAUUUGAGAUAAUCGGGGUCCAACCUAUAACCCCAGUUGGAAGGGAGUUAAUACCAUGCCAGGGGUACUAAUGAUGGUUUUGUGGAUCCACUAAACAUAUAUAAUGUCCAAAGGACUAAGGGUGUCAAUCUUGAACUGACGGGUGACCCCUGCGAGAUAGUCAAGCCUAAUCUGGUGGGUGACUUCUCAUACCCUACGCAGGCUACGUAGUUCUAGAGUAUAGGAACUAGUACUAACAACUCUUCCUAUCUGACGGUGAAGCCACCAUCCCUACACUCACUUGGUGCUAAAUCCUACUCCUAACUGAAAGACACUGAAAUACUAGACUGUUCUUAGUUUAACUGACUGAUAUUUGACUAUUCUAAAGUGCUCAUAGUAUAUUCUAAAGACUGUUUUGUAAUAUUCUAAGACUAGACUAAAUAAACAGCUAUGGAUUUCUAGUAUUCUAUACCCCCAGAACUCAAAACAAUUAUAGUAAAAUAACACUAAAACUUGGAGAUCAAAAUAUGAAGGCUCUUAACAAAUAAAUCAUCUUGUAGGUAUUUUGUCAAACACUUGUAGUUCAUGGUUUAAAUCAAUCAUAGGAAUGUCAUGGAACUUAUAAAAAUAGCAUGAAUUCGACUUAAUAGAUCUAAAUCACGGUUUAAUUCAAUAAAUAAUAAUAUUAAAACAUGAAGGAUUAAAUAAUAACAAUAAUUUCAUGGUAACAUGGUAUAAAAUCAAAGUUCAUGGAGAUUCAUGGGUGAAAUCACAAUUUAAAACAUAAUAACUUGAGAAAAUUAUAACUUGGUGAUUAAAAUGGGUUACUUGGGCUCCAUGGAUGAAAAGAAUCCACGGAUGAACAUCUAACAUACUUUAAUUGAUGGAUUUCUUGAAGUUCUUAGGGAUUGACCUUGAAUUUGAGAGGUAGGGUUCUUGAUUGGAAGAGAAUGACUUUUGAUUUGGGGGAAAUUAACUAAAUAAUAAUUUUAAAAACAUUUUUAAGGCUUCAAUAUCAUACCUGGAUGGACUAAAAUAAUGGGGAAAGGAUUGUUUUAUCCCUAAAUGAAAUAUUAAUUUUUCAUUGAAUUUUUUUGAAAUAGGCACUUGGCGCGAUGCGGAGCUAUCACGCCAUGUCACUGGAAACUGACAACUGGGAACUGGGUUGAAGCACGGCGCGCCACUUUCUCGGUAAGCCUUUGGGUGCCAUUUUGGCCACCUCCGCAACGCACCACAAUGGCGGAGGCCCACUAGAAAUUGACAAACAAGAAAUUGGUCUGCUCCGUGACGUACCAUGAUGGCGGAGUCACACUGGAAAUUGACAAUUAUCAUUUGAGCUACCUACGCGACGUGUUAAGUGUUAAAAUGAUGGUGUUCAAUGACUGAAACUUAAAAUUGUCAUAGCUUCUUACUUUGUUAUCGAAUUUAGGCAAACUUUAUAUCGUUGGAAAGCUAAUUGAAUUUCCUAAAUAAUGACAGGCUCUAAACUGAAAAAUAAUGAGUGUUUCAUACAUUUUAUAUAUGAAUACUCAUUUAGUGGGCUUAGAUUAUGCUAGGGAAAUAUGGGUGUUACAAUAGGGACUAUGUAAUAGGUACUAAAAGUAAAGAAGAAGAGUGAGUACUAAUGAUAAGGGAAAUACUUUUAGGGGAACUAAACACACACUGCUUCUUCUUCUGAUGAUAGGGGAAAUACUGUCAGGAGGAACUUAACACACACUGCUGCUUUUCUAUUGGGAUAUGUUAAAAGAGAGAGGGAAGGGAUUCCACUAAUGAAAUGAAUGUUGGUGUAUGUGUAGAUACAAUUGCCCUACAUCUGAAUGAACUUUGAUGUCUUUGAACAUGGUUUCUCAUUAUCAAAAAGGGAGAAAAUUAUUAUCACAUGUUUUGAUGAUGAUUAGAUGAUAUUGGAGGAUCGGGUCCCUUGAACACUUUUCUUAGGUACAACUGUCACAUCUCUGCAUAAUUUUGUCUGUUAGUGUAACAACUGUGUAGGCACACAGGGUACUAGAUAUUGCACCCAAUCUAAUAAAAAUUCUACCCGAAAUUCUACACUAUGAUAAAUACUUAAAAUUGUUAUUUCAUUUAUAGUUUUUGCAAAUCCAAAAAUUCCAAAGUAGAGAAAAAAAUUCUCCUCGAGAUAAAGUUAUAAAUCUUUAUUGCUUAUAGUAUAGGGUUCAUGAGUCAUGCUUUGUAACUGAUUUACUCAACUAUUAAGAGUAAAGUUUUCUUGUCUGCUGUUGAAUCUCUUAGGUAGAGUUACCUGAGUUAGUAUUGGUUAGAGUUAACCAUUACUGAGAGUGCAAUUGAUACAGGUGUCGAAAGGUAAUUGUAAUAGAGUUAUUACAAAUUGAGUAACAUAGAGCUUUAAGUGGAUUCUGUAAUGAAUAUGAGUUUUGAUUAUAGUAGAGAUUAAGAGCAUGUGAGUGUAGGUCGUGGUUUUUCUUCCCUUUAGCAAGGAGGUUUCCACGUAAAUCUUUGUGUUCAGUUACUUUCUACAUUUUUGUGUGCUCACUAUUUUAUUUCCAUACUACUCAUCUCUAGGACAUGGUCCCUUAGCAGUGGUGUAACCCCCAUGUUUCAACAGUUACGUUGUUCAAAAUAAACUAUUUAUUGUUAUUUUUUGGGUUUAGUAAAAUCUAUAUUUUUUUAACAAUAAAUUCAAAUACAUGUUCAAAUUAACAUAUUAACAGCCAAAAUGAAGUUUAAACUUUGUAUUCAAGACUUUGAACUUUUAACAAUAAUUUCAACCAAACUUAUGAAGAAUCAAAAAUGAAGUUCAAACUAUUUUCUUGAAAAUAGAGAAAAAAUAAAAUUUUAAGAACUUCGACAUGAGUUCAACUAACUUAUGAACAAUCAAAAGAAAAUUUCAAGAUCUUCAAACACAAGUUCAAAUUGUUGAGAACUAUAAACAUGAAAUUCAAACUAUUUUCUGAAAAAAUAGUAAAACCAACUUUAAGAAAAAUAGAUGAAGCUGAAAGAUUCAAGUCCACUGAAUUCACGAUAUGUUCUUAUGGAAAUUAUUUUCCUCAAGUACCCAAGGUCAUGGAAUAUACCUCCUAGGAUAAAAUGAAUCACUUCAAUAGAAUAGCGGUACCAUAAAUUCUGUCAAACUAUAAACACACUCAUGGACCGCAAAUCACUCUAAAGUUUUUCAAGAAAGAGGAGUAUUUUUUCUUCAAAAUUUCAUGUCUUUCCUGAGGAAAAAUUUAGGUAUUUAUAGGCAUCAAGGUGUUUAUUGAUGAAGAGAAGUAGUGGUUUAGAAAGGUGCACCCUACAUAAAGGUACAACUCUUUGAAAAAGUCACAACUCAUUGGAAAGGUCACAACCAUCCAAACAAAAAAGGUGUUUAUUCAAACACAAUCAUCCUUUCUUUUGGUGUCUUUUUGAAAAAACACCUACCGUUUUUUAUUCAUACCUCUUAAGAAUCGAACAAUCUCCUACAUAAAUGGGGAAUGGCUAUUUUAUAAAAAAUUUAAGGACAAAUGUGUGAUUUAUAAUCAAAAACUAGUUUCAUCUGGAUAAGUGGGUUUCCCAUUGAACUUUCCAUAGUGAACUUUCAUCGGGUGCACUCGGUCAAUCGAUAGAUGUGAUAUCUUUAAACCUUUGAGAUUUAAUGUACACCUAGACAACAAAACUCAUGCAAUCAGUCUUUUAACAUUUAUGUUUCUCACAAUUUUUUUUCAUCCUUGAAUACAUCUUGGUUUCAUGAGAACUUAGAGAAUAGGCCUUUACUAGCAUUCUCCGUGAAGUGGCUUCCACUUUACCCUCACAUAGGUGAUUCCUAAAUGUUAAAUCCUAUAGAUCAAACCAUUUGGUCAAACCUACAAAACUUAAAAACCAUUUAAAAGCUUCAAACUAUAAUCCUUAUCCUUGAUCUUUGAACAUUAUCUUUAUCAUGAGAAUGUAUUAAGUAUAUAGACAAUGUUGAACCGUUAGUCACAACUUUGUUUGAUCUCCUUAAACCUAGAUCUUGGGAAAUCCAAUCUGCUAGGUAGAGUUUCCACCAUGCUGACUUGUCCUAGGCCUCAAACCCAUCUCCUUCGAUGAUCUCUCAACUCCCUCUCUAGAUAAGCCUUUUGUAAGUGGAUUCAACACAUUAUCCUUUGACUUCACAUAGUAAACAGUGAUAAUUCCUCUAAAGAGUAGUUCUCUAAUGGUAUUAUGCCUCCAUCUUAUAUGACGAGAUUUAUUAUUUUACAUCAUGCUCCCUUCCCUACCUAUCACUGCUUGACUAUCACAGUGUGUACAUACUAGUGUGAAAGGCUUGGCCCAAUAAUGAAUAUCUUCUAAGAAAUUUCAGAGUCAUUCAGCUUCUUCACUAGCUUUAUCUAAUGUGAUAAAUUUAGAUUCCAUUGUAGAGUGGGCAAUACAUGUCUGUUUAAAAAAUUUCCAAGAUAUUGCUCCUCCACCUAAAGAAAAUACAUAUCCACACAUGGAUUUUCCUUCAUUCGAUCCGGUGAUCCGAUUUGAAUCACUAUGUCCUUCAAUUAUUGCUAGAUUUUUAUUAUAAUUUAAACAUAGUCUUAAGUAUGUUUUAAAUAUCCCAAAACUUUUUUCAGUUCCAUCCAAUGAGUUUGAUUGGAAUUACUUGUGUAUUGACUCAAUUUACUAAUAGCACAUGCUAUAUAUAUGGUCGCAUACAAUUCAUGAUACACAUCAAACUUCCCAACACUCUUGCGUAGUCCAACUAUGAAUCACUUUCAUAUUCAUUCUUUUGAAGUGCAAAGCCACAUCUAAUGGAGUCUUGGCAAUACCGAAGUCCAAAUAUUUAAACUUGUUAAGUAUCUUUUUAAUGUAAUGAUACUAUGACAAUGCCAACUCUUGUGGAGUUUAAUUGAUUCUUAUUGCAUCCGCAACUCCAAGGUCUUUCAUAUCAAAUUUUCUCUCAAGCAUUCAUUUCAUAGCAUUUAUGUCAGAAAUGUCUCUAUUGAUAAUCAACAUAUCAUCGACAUACAAACAAACAAUGACUUUGUGAUUUGAAGUAUCUUUAAUGUAAACACAUUUAUCAUAUUUUUUUAUCUUGAGACUGUUUGUCAACAUGGUUUGGUCAAACUUUGCAUGCCAGUAUUUGAGUGCUUUUUUUAGUCGAUAAAGUGACUUCACAAGUUUGAACACUUUCUUUUAUUUAAUGGGAACCACAAAACCCUUGGGUUGUUCUAUGUAAAUUACUUCCUCUAAUUCUCCAUUUAAGAAUGUUCUUUUCACAUCUAUUGAUGGAUUUCAAUGCUAUAUCCUACCGCUAAUGCAACCAACAUCCGAAUGGACGUUAUCUUUGUUAUAGGCGAGUUUAUAUCAAAAAUACUAAGGUCUUCCUUUUUUCUAAAGCAUUUCACAAGUCUUGCCUUGUAUUUUUUAAUAGUACCAUCAUCUUUCAUUUUCCUUUUGAAGAUCUAUUCAAAACCUAAAGGUUUAUUUCCUGGAGAAAGAUCAACAAAAUCCUAAGUAUGGUUGCUUAUUAUUGAAUCAAUAUCACUAUUGGUUACCUCUUUCCAAAAGAAUGAGUCCGAAUACGACAUGGCUUCUUUAAAUGUUUGAGGUUGAUUUUCAAGAAUAAAUGUAACAAAAUAUGAUCCAAUAAAGUUGAAAUCCUUUGACGUGUACUACUAUUUGAAUUCUCAUCAUUAAGUACAUUCUUAGUUGGUUCAUCUCGAGGUCAUUUAGACUCUCCACUAGACAGCUCAUAUCUAGAUUUGUACGGAUAAAUGUGUUCAAAGAACUCAGCACCAUCUGAUUCAAUUAUUGUAUUUUUAUUUAUAUCUGAAUGUUUGAAUUUAUGAACCAAAAACCGACAUGAUUUACUUCUUUUAGCAUAUCCAAUGAAAAUGCAGUCCACAGUCUUAGGUCUUAUUUUUAUCCUUUUAAGCAUAAGAACUUAUACUUUUACUAGACACCCCUAUAUGAAAUAUUUCAAGUUAGAUUUUCUUCCUUUUCAUUUUUUAUAUGAAAUUGAAUGUCUUACUAUGGAUCACUCUAUUGAGUAUUCGGUUAGCUGUAAGGAUAGUUUUCUCCCACAAGCUUUGUAGUAAACCCAAACUUAAGAGUAAGGCAUUUAUCAUUUUCUAUAAUAUUUAUUUUUUUCCUUUAUGCAAUCCCAUGUAAUUGAGGUGAAUAUGGGGCAGUAGUUUGACAGACAAUUCUAUUUUCUAUACAUAUCUCCACAAAAGGAGAUUUAUAUUCACCACCCCUAUAAUUGUUUAUCAUUUUGAUCUUUUUAUCCAACUGAUUUUCAACUUGUAUUUUACAUUUCCUAAACCCAUAUAUUGCUUCAUCCUUAUAAUUUAGAAAAUAAACAUAACAAUAUCUAGUGCAUUUAUCAAUAAAAGUUAUAAAUACUUUUUCUUACCACGAGAUGGUGUUGACUUCACAUCAGAAAUGUUAGUGUGGAUUAAGUCUAAGGAUUGGAGUUUCUUUCAACAAAUUUAUGUGGAUUCUUAGUAUACUUAGAUUCCCUACAUAUUUGACACUUUGAUUUAUUAUACUCAAAGUAGGCAACACUUCUGUCACAACCUAAACCAAGGCCUCUUAGCGGUUAUCUCAAGUCCCACAUAGAUCGGAGAUUAGCCCCUUCACCUAACCUAACCACCAUAACAACCAAAAGUGUCGGAUGAAUUCCAAACAUAUAAUAAGAUAGAGCAAAAUAAGAUUAAUGAUAACUCAUGAAUGUCUAAACUAGUCUACCAAACAACAUACCAAAGUCCAAAGUAAUCCAACAAAGCCUCUACAAAUCUAAUGUCAAUAAAAUAUUGGGGCAUGCCCCUGACAGUAGCCAACACCAAAUGCUAAACAAAUUCUAAUACAUUGUAAGACCCCACAAAAUUCCAAGAUUUACUCAGUCCAUUAAAGCUUAAAAAGAGGUCCCAGACUUAGAAACUUCAGCUCAGUGUUUACACAUAGAUUCUUUUUAGCCUUCAUAAGUUGGUAAUCUUAUUUCUCCACCCAUACGACCCUUAAAUGUCAAUAUUUGAGUUGAUUCAUGACAAGAUAUGUCAUUAGGUGUUCCUACAAGAGUUUUGGAUUUUUUGGACAUAGUUUAGACACCGUUUGGCAUCCCAAAAUAGUGGACCAACGCAAUCUAGGUGUGCCACGUUGUCUAUUGCAUUGGUUAAUACUGUGCAGAAUUUGCCAGUCAAAAGUACUGAGUAUUGGCACAAUCAUGGUGUGACACAUCGAGUAUCGCAUUGAUUUCAUCAAAGCGCCACAUUGACAACCGCAUCGAUGCCCAAUUUUCAGCUUUUUAAAAUCCGCAUCCAGAGGGGUAUUUGGGUCAAUUUCCCAUCCAUAUAUAACCCUAUAACACGAGAUUCAACCUUAUUUUUUACCAAAAUAUACUCUCUUCUCUCAAUUUCUCUCAAGAACAAGUUAGGGUUCUCCAAUUGAGGAUCCAAAUUCAAGAGUCUCUCCGCUAAUCUUUCUAAAAUCAAGAACUAAGGUAUGUUACAUUUUGAUUCUUGGGUUCCUUCCACCCAAGAAGUUCAAGAACCCUUUUCAAAUUAUAAAGAUUAAAUAUUUAUGAUUCUUGAUGAUUUAUGUGAGUUGAAGUUUAUGUUUAUGUUAUUGUUGAGUUGUGAUUCAUGUCCUAGAUUACAAGUUUCAUGAUUUAGUCCUAGCAAGUGAUGAUUUACAUAAUGUUCAUGAUAAACCCCUUUAAGUUGCAAGUUUAUUGAUGUAGCCAUGUUAAUUAGAUAUAUUGAUUGUUUUAUAACCAAAGUAAGCUCCCCACAUAUUUGAUAAAAUGCUUAUGUGAAGAGAAUAGAGUCAUUAUAGUAUGUUAGUAUGAAAUCCCUAAAUAUGUGUAAGUUAAUGCAUGCCAUGUGUUUUUUGAAAGGCCUUAGUGAAUGAAUUAUGAUAUGUUGCAUGCACUCCCAUUUACGUGCAUUCCUUAAUGAGAAUUAUGAGACAUUGGUAUGCAUACCUAUACGUUUACAUGUCUAAGACUUCCAAGUACUUAAAGAGAUGCCUCCUUGAUUUUAUUGUGAAUGAUAGACUAUUAUUAUGUUAUUCAAGAAUUGUCAUGCCUUAUUUAUUUAUGUUAUCGAGUCCUGGGGGUAUUUAAUACCCAAUAAUUUAGCUGAUUGUCUAGAUCCAGUGUCAGUUUUCAAGAUAAUCUCAGUCGUACAUGAUCAGUAGAACUCAAUCAGUUAUAGAACUUAGAGAGACUCAAUAAUGUUAGUAUCAGUCUAUUCCAGUUCAGUUUUCAGUUCAGACCUCAGUAGUGUUCAAGUAGUCAGUCCAGAAACUCAGUAGCAUUCAAUCAUAUAACAAAAUUUAGUACUAUUCCAUCAGUCAACAGAACUCAUGAGAUCAUUUCAAUUCAGUUAACCAGUAUGAUCAAUAAUAGUUUAGUCAAGCCUAGUAUGAACUAGGAAAUUAUUUUAGUGUCUUUCAGUUGGGAGUAGGAUUCAGCAUCGAGCAAGCCUAGGGAUAGGGGCUCACCCGCUAGUCAGGACUAAGAUUCCUAGAAGCAAUCUCUAAGUUCCAAAACUACGUAGGAAGCGUAAACAUGAGAUGUCACCCAUUAGAUAGGACAGACAUACUCGGGGAUCACCUAAUAGUACAGGACUAAUCUCAGGGGUUACCCGCUAGAUUAGGACUGACUCCAUAGUAGUUGUCUUUACCUGUAGCACGGUACUGACACCCUUCCAGCUGGGGUUAUAGGUUGGACCCCACUAGUUCAUAUUUAGGGCAUGUAGGUUAGAUGACUACCUCCCACAGUCUCAGUUUAAUUUGAGGUACCAGAGUUGGGGCAUCGUAUAGCAUUUGGGGUACUAGAGUCGGGGUGUUACAAGCUGGGUAUCAGAGCCUAAGGUUCAAAAGUGUCCUAGAAAGUCUGAAAGUCACAUCUAGUAGAGUCUUUUGCCUGGGUGUAUUGCACACCACAUUUAUGUACCAGAGGCUGUAAGAUGUUUUAGGAAUAGUUUCCCUUCUUUCAGUAUGCAUGUCGUGCGAGUGAGUAUGAGCUCGAGUUAAGACUCUCAGUCUAAUCGAUUCUUUUUUUUAUUUACAGAAUAUGCCUCCUCACAAAGAUAAUGCCUGUAGAAGUGCUAACCAGCCACCUCAGCCCGUAGAUCCUUUGAAUAAAAAUAUGCCACAUGUAGAGUUUUGGGCAGCUUUUCAGGUACUAGCCCAAGCUGCGACUACUAGUGAUUAGGGUAACCAUCAGGAUAUAGCCCAACUUCAAUAAGAUGGGGAUUUAGCUGCAGCCAGGAUCAGAAAUUUCAUGAGAAUAAACCUGCCAAAAUUCUUUGGGUCAAUAGCAGGCAAGGACCCAUAGCUUUAUCUUGUGGAGGUGAAGAAGAUCACCCAAAUUAUGCGUGUCUCUGAAGAGGAAAGUGUAGAAUUGGCAUCCUAUAGGUUGAAGAAUGUUGCUCAUGAGUUAGCAAUGAUGUGGAAUAAGAGUAGAGGGGAGGAUGAAGCUCCCAUGACUUGGCAAAUAUUUCAGGAUGUGUUCUUAGAUAAGUUUUUCACACUUGAGAUGAGGGAAGCUAAGGUAAAAGAGUUCAUGAACCUAAGGCAAGGCUCUAUGUCAGUGAAGGAGUAUUUUCUCAAGUUCAAUCAAUUGUAUAAGUAUGUUCCCGAGCAAAUGGCUGACCCUAGAUCUAGCAUGAGUAAGUUUAUGACCGGUUUGUCUGGGUUGGAGGUUAAGGAGUGUAGAACUGCUAUGAUCAAUAGAGACAUAGGUCUUUCUAGGCUAAUAAUACACGCUCAGCAGAUUGAGGUAGAAAAAACUAAGGAGAGAGAGUGUGUAUAAGAAAGCCAAAAUAAGUAGUUUUAGUUUUUCUCAGCCAGGGUCACAGGGUGGUAACCAUUCUCAGAAUAGUCAGAAGUUUUUAGUCCCAGCUCUAUCCUCAGCUAGCGAACCAGUACCAAUAUUCAGGGAUGGUAAUCUUAAUAGGGCGCUAGGCUCCAAAAUGCAGAGUAGUGUGAGAAGUGAGAGUACCUAUCCGAGUAGUGUGAGAAAUGAGAGUACCUAUCCACUUUGUGAAGAACGUAGUAAGAACCACCUAGGUGUAUAUAGAGCAGGCAGCGAGGUAUGUUUUGGUUGUGGUAAGCCAGGCCACAGGUUGUAAGAGUGUAGAGUUUUGGCUCAGAGGGGUAAAUACUUGCAUCAACAGGGAGCCACUUCCAGUACAACUAGUGGUCAGCAUCAAAAAAGAUUUUAUGCAUUCUAGACUCACCAUAAUCAUGGAAGGUCCCCUAACAUAGAUUCGGGUACUUUAUAAGUCCUUCAAUUUUAUGAUAUGCAUUGUUAGAUCCCUUGCUCCUAUUUGAGCUUAAGUUUUAAGCAUGAGUUAGUUAGUAAAGCCAGAAAUUCAAUUUAACAGUCAGGUAGUCAGAUUCGUAUAGUUUGUUUCCCAUCUUUCCAUUUAGUCAUACUAUUAGAAAUCUUAGAAAUGAAACUAUUCCAUGAUAGACAGUCCCAGUAGUUGUAAUAUCAUCUCAGUUCAUGUAUCAUGCAUUAGCUUUAGAUCCUAAAUGUUCAGUCAUGAUCCAAUUCAUAGGUGCCUUGUGCAUCGCCUCAGUUUUCCUAGUAACUUAGUAAAGUAAGUGUUCUUAGAGGGAAAUAGUGUUCCAAGGGGGAGAUACUCUAUAAUUCGCAAAUGCUUUCAUGUCCUUAAUCCUAUUCGGUUGCAUGUUCAAAUGUUCCAUACAAAGUUAGUAUCAAUUAUCAUUGCAUAUUUAGUCAUGCAUUUAAGAGUCAGCUCAGUCAGAUAUUCAUGCAUUAGAUAUGUAUGUUCAGUAGAAAAAGCUUAGCUUAUUAGUAAUUUCAGUCGUACUUUCAUGAGAAUAGCUCAGUCAAGUAUCCAUGCAUCAGAUAUGCAUGUUUAGUAAGAAAUUUCAGUAUAUCAGUAGUUCCAGUCAUAUAGUCAUGUUUUAGAUGUUCAUGUCCAGUAAGUAGGUUCAGUCUAUCCAUAUUUUUGGUCUAGUCAGUCCCAUUCAUGGAUGAAUGUUCCCAGGGGGGAGAUAUUAUAAGACCCCACAAAAUUCCAAGCUUUACUCAGUACAUUAAAUCUUAAAAAGAGGUCCCAGACUUAGAAACUUCAGCUAAGUGAUUACACUUAGAAUCUUUUUAGCCUUCAUAAGUUGUCAAUCUUAUUUCGCGACCCAUACAACCCUUAAAUGUUGAUCUUUAAGUUGAUUCAUGACCAGCUAUGUCAGUAGGUGUUCCCGAACGAGUUUCGAAUUUUUUUAAUAGCAUUUAGACCCCAUUUGGUGUCCCAAAAUAGUAGACCAAGGCGAUCUAGGAGCCCCGCGUCGUCUAUCGUGUUGGGUAAUAUUGUGCAGGAUUUUCCAGUCAAAAGUACUAAGGCUUGGAGCAAUCAUGGCGUGAUCCAUAUAGUAUCGCGUUGAUGCCAUCGACACACUGUGUCGACAACCGCAUCGGUGCCCAGUUUUUAGCUUUUUAAAAUUUACGUCCAGAGGAGUAUUUGGGUCAAUUUCCCACCCCUAUAUAACCCUAUAACAUGAGAUUUAGCCCUAUUUUUUCCAAAAUAUACCCUCUUCUCUCAAUUUCUCUUAAGAACAAGUUAGGGUUUUCCAAUUGAAGAUCCAAAUUCAAGAGUCUCUCCACCAAUCUCCUUAAAAUCAAGAACUAAGGUAUGUUAGAUGUUGAUUCUUGGAUGUUUUCCACCCAAGAAGUUCAAGAACCCUUUUGAAAUUAUAAAGAUUGAAUAUUUAUGAUUUAUGUGAGUUGAAGUUCAUGUUUAUGGUAUUGUUGAGUUGUGAUUCAUGUCCUAGAUUACAAGUUUCAUGAUUUAGUCCUAGCAAGUGAUGAUUUGCAUAAUGUUCAUGAUAAACCCCUUUAAGUUACAAGCUUAUUGAUGUAGCCAUGUUAAUUGGAUGUAUUGAUUGUUUUAUAACCAAAGUAAGCUCCCCAUAUAUUUGAUAAAAUGCUUAUGUGAAGGGAAUGGAGUUAUUAUAGCAUGUUCACAUGAAAUCCCUAAUUAUGUAUAAGUUAAUGCAUGCCAAGUGUUUGUUGAAAGGCCUUAGUGAAUCAAUUAUGAUAUAUUGCAUGCACUCCCAUUUAAGUGCAUUCCUUAAUGAAUUAAUUAUGAGACAUUGGUAAGCAUCCAUAUACGUUUACAUAUUUAAGACUUGAAAGUUCUUGAAGAGAUUCCUCCUUGAUUUUAUUGUGAAUGAUAGACUAUUAUUACGCUAUUCAAGAAUCGCCAUACCUCAUUUAUUUAUGUUAUCGAGUCUUGGGGGUAUUUAAUACCCGACAAUUUAGCUGAUUAUCUAGAGCCAGUGUUAGUUUUCAAGAUAAUCUCAGUCAUGCCAUGAUCAGUAGAACUCAGUAAGUUACAGAACUUAGAGAAAUGCAGUAAUAUCCGUAUCAGUGUAUUACAGUUCAGACCUCAGUAGUAUUCAACUAUUUAGUCCAGAAACUCAACAGUAUUCAGUUAGAUAAUAGAAUUCAGUAAUAUUCCAUCAGUCAACGAAACUCGGUGAGAUCAGUUCAGUUUAGUUAAUUAGUAUGAUCAGUAACAGUUCAAUCAAGCCUAGAAUGAACUAGAAAAUUAGUUCAUUAUCUUUCAGUUGGGAGUAGCAUUCAGUACAAGCGAGGCUAGAAAUAAGGGCUCACCCGCUAGAUAGGAAUGAGAUCCCUAGAAGCAAUCUCUAAGUUUCAGAACUACGUAGCCAGUGUAGGUAUUAGAUGUCACUCAUUAGAUACGACUGACAUAGUCGGGGAUGACCCACUAGUACAGGACUGAUCUCAGGGGUCACCCGCUAGAUUAGGACUGACUCCAUAGUAGUUGUAUUUACUCGUGGCAUGGUACUGACACCCUUUCAGCUGGGUUAUAGGUUGGACCCCACUAGUUUAGAUUCGUGGAAUGUCGGUUAUAUGACUACCUCCCACAGUCUUAGUUUUACAUUCAGUCUCAGUAAUAUAACUCAGUGUGUUAUUAUAGAAAUCAAGACUAUUAGAUACAGUCACUCAGCUCAGUAAGGAACUUAGAUAUUUCUAUAGAAUUUAGAGAUCACCCGCUAAAUAGGACUAAUAUCAAAUAUAGUCAAUUAUUUUCAUCUUCCAGAGAUUCAAAGAUUACCUGCUAGAUAGGAAUAAACUUAGGUACAAUCAAUCAGAAUCAGUAUCAAUAGAUUCUGAGAUCACCCGCUAGAUAGAACUGAUCUUAGAUACAGUCAAUCAGUAUUAGAAAAACUCUGAGAUCAAUAUUAGGAGAAUCAAAUAUGAGUAAAUUAUUAUUUAGAAUUCAGCAUAAGUAAACCCUAUUAUCAGUAUCCAGUUAGUUGAACUCAGUAUUCAAUAUUACUAUGAUUUCAGUUAUAGUUUAUGCAUUCAUUCAUGUAAUUCCUUAUUCAGUAUACUUAUGUUAUUCAAUCAACUAUAAGUCAUACAUAUGAGCCUUUGCAUUUAGCCUUACCUCAUCUAGUAUACCAGUACAUUUUCACGUAGUGACACAUACUUUUCUACGCUAUGGUGUUUUAUACCAUAGGUUGAGAAGAAUAAGCUCCAGAGCACCCUUAGCAAUCUAGAUUUAGCCAGUAGCAAUAGAUAGCUAUGAGUCAUCAUCAUUUGGGGAUGGUUCUUAUUUCACUUUAUUGUAUUAGAUUCAGUAUUUUCAGUAGAUGGAGUUAGUUGGGGUCCCAUUCUACUACUUAUUCAGAUAGUUAGAGGCUUUUAGACUAGAGUUUUUCAGACUAGAUAUUCAGACAGUUGUAUUAGUAUUCAGUUUUCAGUUGUAUUUCAGAUGUUUGAACCUUACAAAAAGUUUUCCAUCAAUUUCCAUAUUUUUAAAGUGUAUUAUUCAGUACUUAGUUACAGAUAUCAGUCAAGGAUUAGCUUGUGGUCCUUCGAGAUUGUGAGCAUCGUGUAGCAUCCGGGUUACCAGACUCCGGGUGUUACAAACUUGAUAUUAGAUCAUAAGGUUCAACAGAAUCCUAGGAAGUCUGAAAGCCACAUCUAGUAGAGUCUUGUGCAUGCGUGUGUUGCGCACCUCAUUUAUGUAUAGGAGGCUAUAAGAUGUUUUAGGAAUAAGCUCCCUUCUUUCAGUAUUCAUAUUGUGCGAGUGAGAAUGAGCUCAAGUUAAGACUUUCAGUCUAAUCCAUUCUUUCUUUCAUUUAUAGAAUAUGCCUCUUCAUAGAGAUAAUGCCCAUAGAAAUGAUAACCAGCCACCUCAGCCUGUAGAUCCUUCGAAUGAGAAUAUGUCACAUGCAGAGUUUCGGGCAGCUUUUCGAGUGCUAGCCUAAGUCGUGACAACUAGUGUUCAAGUUAAUCAUCAGGCUGCGGCCCAACCUCAAUAAGAUGGGGAUUUAGCCAUUGCCAGGAUCAAAAAUUUAAUGAGAAUGAACCCGACAGAAUUCUUUAGGUCAAUAGAAGGAGAGGACCCACAGCUUUUCCUUAAGGAGAUGAAGAAGAUCACCUAAAUUAUACAUGUCUAUGAAGAGGAGAGUUUACAAUUGGCAUCCUAUAGGUUGAAGGAUAUUGCCCAUGAUUGGGUAGUGAUGAGAAAUAAAAGUAGAGGGGAGGAUGCAGCUCCUAUGACUUGACAGAUAUUUCAGGAUAUAUUCUUAGAUAAGUUUUUCCUACUUGAGAUGAGGGAAGCUAAGGUAGAAGUAUUCAUGAACCUAAGGCAAGGCAGUACGUCAGUGAAAGAGUAUUGCCUUAAGUUCAAUCAGCCGUCUAAGUAUGUUCCCGAGCAGAUGGGUGGCCCUAGAUCUAGCAUGAGAAAUUUUGUGACUGGUAUGUCUAGGUUGGUGGUUAAGGUGUGUAGGACUGCUAAGCUUAAUAGAGACAGGGAUCUUUCUAGAAUAAUGAUAUACGCUCAGUAGAUUAAGGUAGAAAAAGGUAAGGAGAGAGAAAAAGAGAAUAAGAAAGCCAGAACAGGUAGUUCUAGUUUUUCUCAGCCAGGGUCAUAAGGUGGUAACCAUUCUCAGCAUAGUCAGAAGUUUUUAGUCCCACCUCCAUCCUCAGCUAGUGCACCAAUACCAAAGUUCAGGGAUGGUAAUCUUGAUAAGGCGCCAAGCUUCAAAGACCGGGGUAGUGUGAAAAGUGAGCAUACCUAUCGGCUUUAUGAAGAAUAUGGUAAGAACCACCUAGGUACAUGUAGAGUAGGAAGCGAGGUAUGUUUUGGUUGUGGUAAUCUAGGACACAGGUUGUGAGACUGUAGGGUUUUGGCUUAGAGGGGUAAAGACUUGCAUCAACAGGAAGCUACUUCCAGUAUAACUAAUGGUCAGCGUCAAAACAGAUUUUAUGCACUCCAGACUCGCCAUAAUAAAGGAAGUUCCCCUAACAUAGAUUUGGGUACGUUAUAAGUCCUUCAUUGUCAUAAUAUGCAUUGUUAGAUCCUUUGCUCCCAUUUGAGCUAAAGUUUUCAGCAUGAGUUAGUAAGUAAAGCAAGAAAUUUGAUUUAACAGUUAGGCAGUCAGAUUCGUAUAGUUUGUUUCCCAUUUUUCCAUUUAGUCAUACUAUUAGAAAUCUCAGGAAUAAAACUAUUCCAAGAUAGAAAGUCCCAGUAGUUGCAAGAUCAGCUCAGUUCAUGUAUCAUGCAUUAGCUUUAGAUCCCAGAUGUUCAGUUAUGAUCCAGUUUGUAGGUGUCUGGUCCAUUGCCUCAAUUUUCCUAGUAUCUCAUUAAAUUAAGUGUUCUUAGAAGAACAUAGUGUCCCAAGAGGGAGAUACUUUAUAAUUCCUCAAUGCUUUCAUGUCCUUAAUCCUAUUUAGUUGCAUGUUCAGAUGUUCAAUACAAAUUCAGUAUCAGUUAUUAUUGCAUAUUCAGUCAUGCAUUCGAGAGUCAGCUCAAUCAGAUAUUCAUGCAUUAGAUAUGCAUGUUCAGUAGAAGAAGCUCAGCUUAUCAGUAAUUUCAGUCUUGCUUUCAUGAGAAUAGCUUAGUCAAUUAUCCAUGCAUCAGAUAUGCAUGUUCAUUAAACCAGUAGUUCCAGUCAUAUAGUCAUGUUUCAAAAGUUCAUGUCCAGUAAGUAAGUAUGGUCUAUCCUUAUUUUUAGUCUAGUCAGUCCUAUUCGAGGAUGAAUGUUCCCAAUGGGGAGAUAUUGUUAGACCCCGCAAAAUUCCAAGCCUUACUCAGUACGUUAAAGCUUAAAAAGAGGUCCCAGACUUAGAAACUUCAGCUAAGUAUUUACACUUAGAAUUUUUUUAGCCUUCAUAAGUUGGUAUGCACCCCUAUACGUUUACUUGUUUAAGACUUCCAAGUUCUUGAAGAGAUACCUCCUUGAUUUUACUAUGAAUGAUAGACUAUUGUUAUGCUAUUCAAGAAUUGUCAUGCCUUAUUUACUUAUGCUAUCGAGUCCUGGGGGUACUUAAUACACGAUAAUUUAGCUGAUUGUCUAUAGCUAGUGUCAGUUUUCAAGAUAAUAUCAAUCGUUCCAUGAUCAGUAGAACUCAAUUAGUUACAAAACUUAGAGAGACUCAGUAAUCUGAGUAUUAGCCUAUUCCAGUUCAGUAUUCAGUUCAUACCUAAGUAUUAUUCAAGUAUUCAGUCCAAAAACUCAGUAGCAUUUAGUUAGGUAACAGAAUUCAAUAGUAUUCUGUCAGUCAAAGGAACUCAGUAAGAUCAGUUCAGUUUAGAUAAUCAGUACAAUUAGUAACAGUUCAGUCAAGCCUAGUAUGAACUAGGAAAUCAGUUUAGUGUCUUUCAGUUUGGAGUAGGAUUUAGCACCGAGAGAUCCUAGGGAUGGGGGCUCACCCGCUAGAUAGGACUAAGAUCCCUAGAAGCAAUCCCUAAGUUCCAAAACUACAUAGCCAGCGUAGACAUUAGAUGUCACCCAUUAGAUAGGGCAGACAUACUCGGGGAUCACCCGCUAGUACAGGACUAAUCUCAUGGGUCACCCACUGAUUAGGACUGACUCUAUAGCAGUUGUCUUUACCCAUGGUACAGUAUUGACACCCUUCCAGCUGGGGUUAUAGGUUAAACCCCAGUAGUUCAAAUUUGGGGCAUGUCAGUUAGAUGACUAGCUCCCACAGUCUCAGUUUUAGAUUCAGUCUUAAUAAUAGAACAUAGUUUAGUAGUAUAGAAAUCAAGACUGUUAGAUACAGUCACUCAGCUCAGUAAGGAACUUAGAUAGUUUAAUAAAAUUUAGAGAUAACCCACUAGAUAGGACUAAUCUCAAAUAUAGUCAAUCAUUUUCAUCAUCCAAAGAUUCAGAGAUCACCAACUAGAUAAGACUGAUCUCAGGUACAAUCAAUUAGAAUCAAUAUCAGUAGAUUCAGAGAUCACCCACUGGAUAGGACUAAUCUCAGAUAAGUCAAUCAGUAUUAGAAAAACUCUAAGAUCAAUAUCAGUAGACUCAGUUAUUCAGUAUCCCAGUGUUAGUAAGCUCAAAUGUUAGUAAAUUAGUAUUUAAAAUUCAGCAUCAGUAAACCUAGUUAUUAGUAAUCCAAUUAGUUGAACUCAGUAUUCAGUGUUACUAUGAUUUUAGUUAUAGUUUAUGCAUUCAUGCAUGUAAUUUCUCAUUCAUUAUACUCAUGUUAUUCAGUCAGCUAUAGUUUGUAUGUAUGAGCCUUUGCAUGUAGCCUUACCUCAUCUAGCAUAUCAGUAUAUUUUUACAUACUGGCGCAUACUUUCCAGCACUAUGGUGUUUUAUACCAUUGGUUCAGAAGCACGAGCUCCAGAGCACCCUUAGCAGUCCAGAUUCAGCCAGUAGCUAUGGAUAACAGUGAGUCCUCAUAAUUUGGGGAAGGUUCUUAUUUCACUUUAUUUCAUUAGAUUCAGUGUUUUUAGUAGAUGGAGUUAGUUGGGAGAUUGUCCCAUUCAACUCCUUAUUAAUACAGUUAGAGGCUUUCAAACUAGAGUUUUUCAGACUAGAUGUUCAGACAGUUAUAUUAGUAUUCAAUUUUCAGUUGUAUUUCAAAUGUUUGAACCUUAUGGCAAGUUUUCCGUCAGUUUUUUGCAUUUUUAUAGUGUAUUAUUCAGUGCUCAAUUAUAGAUAUCAUUCAAGGGUUAGCUUGUGGUCCUUUGGGAUUAUGAGCACCGUGUAGCAUCCGGGGUGCCAAAACUCAGGGCGUUACACACAUAGAAUAUAAAAACCAUAAAAUGAAUGUCUUUUGAAGUAUGGAAGAUCACCACUUUAAUGUCAACUCAUGAACCCCUCGAACACCUGAUCACUGUGCAGGAAAAGAAGAAGUUUCCAUCCCUAUAUCACGUGGGGAUAUAGUGUUCAGAGAUGGAUAUCAUUUGGAGUUCUAGCAUGUAACUCAGGGAUAAGGAUAAAAUAAUGUUAUUAUGCAAAACCAAUUCAAACCAUCAUAUGCAAUUAUAACAUAUAUAUAUCAUGUCGGGAUAAGGAAUGAGGCUUAGUACGAACUUUGAAAAUAUUAACCUUGGUUUUUUUGCAUAACCUUUAUAAUAUCAUGCACCUACAGGCUAUAUAGGCCCAGCUCUCCCCUAGAUGGAUAUAAUACCCCGCAUGUUUCUAAGCUAGGAAGUGAAUAAGUAUUCCUACGUAUGAAAUCUCCUAUCCUGUGAUUCAUACUUGAGUACAUGACUUAUAAUGAAUAUCCUAGUGAUAGGAUAGCUUAUGAUGCAUUAAGCAUGUUCAUAUGAGUCACUUAAGGUAAUAUAAGCUAAGAUUUUUUGAAUCUAUCAAGUUUUAGUGUUUGAUUUUGCAAGGGUCAUUUUUGAAUGAGUAUAAAUUGAUGUUAAUGUGGUGUUUUGGCUGAUUUAGACCCACCAAAUUGUAUAGAAUCGAAUUAGCUUUCCAACUAUACCAAUUUUACCUUAAUACAAUACCCGAGCGAAAAGUUAUGCCUAUUUUUGUGAGAGACAGUAAGGAUAGGCUAUUGGUUAGGCACCACCCAACCAAACAUAGGCGAUGGGUUAGGCGCCGCCCAACCUAGCUUAGUCAAUCACUUGGAUGCCGCCUAAGUCAGUUCCAGGUGCCAAAAACACUCCGUUUUGAGUUAUUUUAAGGGUAAUUAAGUCUUUUAACACUCCUUACACAUCCCUAAACUUAACCCUACAAAAUAUAAAGCUUCUAAACAUAUUACAACCCUAUUAUCAUCUCAAAGCUCAUCAUCCAAGAUCCAUAAAAGAGAAAAACAACUAGGGUUGUGUAACUAAUAUUGAAGAUCCGAUUUCUAGGAAACUCCUCCAUCAAUCAUCAAGAAUCUUCCUUCUAAGGUAUUGGUGGUUGAAUAUUUGUAAUCUUGAUGAAUCCACCUAUGCCUAAUAUGUGCAUGUAAGGUUUUUGUGAAAAUACCUAAGGGAAUAUAAAUCAUGCUUUUAUGACAUAAUAAAUCCUAAAUGACUAUUCCAUGUUCUAAGUUUAUGUUCAACGUGAUCCCCAUGCUAUUGUCUUGAAUUGAAAAAGUUGUACGAGAUGCUCAUGAUAUUGUUUUGAUAUGGAACAACCAUGUUAUUGAAGCCAUGCAAGUAUAUACAUGAUGUGUUUAUUCCCGUUCAUGUGAUAGUUUGUUGAGAAUCAUUCUUAUUAUGAAAUCCUUACUUAUGAUAUUGUGAGUUGUGUUAAUUUCCUCCUAUCGAGUCCUGGGGGUACUUGUAUCCAAAAACUAUAGUUGUGUGCCUAGAGCCAUUUUAUGUUUCACGAUAUCCGAACUCAAGCUAUGAUUCCAUAGACUUCAGUCAGUCAUGUGACUCAGGAAAACCUAAUGAUCUUAGUCAGUUGUCAGAUAUCAGUAACAUUAUGCCAGUAAUGGAAUUUAGUAAGAUUAAGUCAUGCACAGUCAGUUAUUCAUGUCCAGUCCCUCUAGAUGAGAGUAGAGGUUAGCACCGAGCGAACCCAAGGAUAGGAACUCACCCGCAAGUUCAGGGUGUAAUUCUUAGUAGUCAUCCUUAUGUUCCAAAACUACGUAGCCAGUGUAGGUUGAGACAUCUUAACCCAUCAAAUUAGGGUUGAUGAAGUGGCUUAACCCGUCAAUUUAGGAUUCCCACCGUUCUCAUUGAGUACCCGCCAGAUAAGGUUCACUCACAGGCUACCUUACUCGUGGCACGAUAUUGACACCCCUCCAGUCGGGGCAGAGAUUGGACCCCAGCUUAGCCAUAACGACAUACAAAGGGGCAUGUCGGUUAAACACUACUUUCCACAGUUUCAGUAUCAGUCUAAAUAAAAGAACUCAGGGCUUUCUUCAGAUUUCAGUAUAUACAGGACUGUCAGAUAUAGUCGUCCAUGUUAUUAUUUUUAGUAUCAGUCAUAAAAGUUAUUAGUAAACCAUGUAUUAGCUUAUAGGUCAUGCUAUCACGUAUUCACGGUCCCAAUUUCUAUAUAUGUGUGCUUGUACUCCCACGUUCAUAUUAGUCAGUCAGUGUUGUUCAUGCAUGAAACCCUUUAUGUUUAGCNNNNNNNNNNNNNNNNNNNNNNNNNNNNNNNNNNNNNNNNNNNNNNNNNNNNNNNNNNNNNNNNNNNNNNNNNNNNNNNNNNNNNNNNNNNNNNNNNNNNNNNNNNNNNNNNNNNNNNNNNNNNNNNNNNNNNNNNNNNNNNNNNNNNNNNNNNNNNNNNNNNNNNNNNNNNNNNNNNNNNNNNNNNNNNNNNNNNNNNNNNNNNNNNNNNNNNNNNNNNNNNNNNNNNNNNNNNNNNNNNNNNNNNNNNNNNNNNNNNNNNNNNNNNNNNNNNNNNNNNNNNNNNNNNNNNNNNNNNNNNNNNNNNNNNNNNNNNNNNNNNNNNNNNNNNNNNNNNNNNNNNNNNNNNNNNNNNNNNNNNNNNNNNNNNNNNNNNNNNNNNNNNNNNNNNNNNNNNNNNNNNNNNNNNNNNNNNNNNNNNNNNNNNNNNNNNNNNNNNNNNNNNNNNNNNNNNNNNNNNNNNNNNNNNNNNNNNNNNNNNNNNNNNNNNNNNNNNNNNNNNNNNNNNNNNNNNNNNNNNNNNNNNNNNNNNNNNNNNNNNNNNNNNNCAUUUAUUUAUUUCUUCAGUUUAGUUUUAUAGAGUUAGUUGGAGACAUGUUCCUUCAACUCCUUAUUCAUAUAGUUUAGAGGCUUUCAGAUUUACGUUCAGACUUAACUUUCAGAUUGAGUUAUUUUGGGUAUUUUCACGCAUAUGAUUUUAUUCAGUUGAACCUUCUGGCCUUACAUUUAUAUGUAUUCUACAUUAUUAUAUCAUGAUUUGUAGUAUAUAAGUCCAGAUAUCAGUCAUGGGUUAGCUUGUGGUCCCUCAGGGUCAUGAGCACCGUGUAGCAUUCCAGUUCAGCGAAUCGGGGUGUUACAAACUUGGUAUCAGAGCCUAAGGUUCAAUAGAGUCCUAGGAAGUCUGAAAGCCGCAUCUAGUAGAGUCUUGUACAUGGGUGUGUUGCGCGCCAUAUUUAUUUGCGGAAGGCUAUAAGAUGUUUUAGGAACAGUCCCCUUUCUUCAUUAUUCAUGUCAUACUAGUGAUCAUAAUCAUAAGUUAAACUCUCAAUCUAAUCCAUUCUUCUCUUAUUCCAGACCAUGGCGCCUAAGAGAAGAAACCAGCCAGCUCCUUAGCCUAAAGAUCCUUUGGGCGAACAUGUUUCCCAUGCAGAGUUUAGAGACGUAUUUACCACACUUGCUCAGUCCAUGGUUGUAUAGAAUGAACAGCCACCAGCCAUUCUGUCUAAUCCAAUGGCCAAUCUCAAAGAAGCUAGGGUUCGAGACUUCACUCAGAUGAACCCUCCAUCUUUCAAGGGUCUAAGUCUAAUGAGGACCCUCAGGAGUUGAUUGACCAAGUCCAAAAGGUCAUUGACAUCGUGGGUGUUACUUCUAUUGAGAGUGCUGAGUUAUCCACCUACCAUUUACAGGAUGUUGCUCAUGAUUGGUACAAACAGUGAAAGUCUAAGAGGUUAGAUGAUAUAGGCCUUAUCGAGUGAGAGGAAUUUGUCACGGCCUUCUUAGACAGAUUCUUUCCCCAAGAGCUGAGGGAAAACAAAGUUCUUGAGUUCAUCAACCUCAGGCAGGGGAAUAUGAUGGUUAGGGAGUAUUCUCUCAGAUUUACUCAGCUAGCCAGGUAUGCUCCUUAGGUAGUUAUAGACAAUAGAGCUAAGAUGAGUAAGUUCCUGUCAGGGGUCAACUUGUUUCCUACCUUCGGGCAAGGAAAAUGAUUUCUAAGUGAUGUGUGUAUCAUCUCUUGCAUAUUAAAGAUUCCAUUUCUAAAUCUCCUUACCUCAAAAUAGUCCCUGUUGUUAAUGAAUACUCAGAUGUCUUUCCCAAAGAUCUUUCAGGAAUUUCUCCCGAAAGAGAAAUAGACUUCGGCAUAGACUUUCUUCCGGAUACUCAACCUAUUUCUAUUCCACCAUACAGAAUAACACCAGCAAAACUCAAGGAACUGAAAGAUCAGUUGAAGGAUCUCUUAGAUAAGGGAUUCAUUAGACCCAGCAUUUCCCCAUGGGGUGCGCCAGUGUUAUUCAUGUGCAAGAAAGACGGAUCUCUCAGGAUGUGUAUUGAUUACCAUCAACUCAACAAGGUCACGGUCAAGAACAGAUAUCAUCUUCCCAGGAUUGAUGAUCUAUUCGAACAACUUUAGGGUGCCAGUUACUUCUCCAAGAUAGACCUCAGAUCAGGCUAUCAUCAGCUUAGAGUUAGAGAAUGUGACAUUCCGAAGAUAGCUUUCCGUACUCAGUAUGGUCACUUCGAAUUUUUAGUCAUGUCAUUUGGUCUUACCAAUGCCCCUGUAACUUUUACGGAUUUGAUGAACCGUGUGUUCAAGCAGUACUUGGACAUGUUUGUCAUAGCCUUUAUAGAUGAUAUUCUGAUCUAUUCUCGCACAAAGCGUGAUCAUGCAGAUCAUCUCAGGAUUGUUCUUCAGACUCUCAGGGAUCACCAGUUAUUCUCUAAAUUCAGCAAGUACGAAUUUUGGCUAAGAUCAGUAGCAUUCCUUGGCCAUAUUAUUUCUAGUGAUGGCAUUAGAGUAGAUCCUCAAAAAACCGAGGCAGUGAAAAACUGGCCCAGACCUAUAUCUCCAUCAGAUAUUUGGAGUUUCUUGGGUUUGGCUAGCUAUUACAGAUAGUUUUUUGAGGGGUUUUCUUCUAUUGCAUCUUCCAUGUCCAGAUUGACUCAGAAGAAUAUUAAAUUUCAGUGGUCAGAUUCAUGCGAGAAGAGCUUUCAAGAGUUGAAGACUAGACCCACCUCAGCUCUAGUUCUAGAUAUUCCAGAUAGUUCAGACGAUUUUUUAGUCUAUUGUGAUGCAUCCAGAGUGGGUUUAGGUUGUGUCCUCAUAUAGCAUGGCAUGGUCAUAGCCUACGCUUCCAGACAGUUAAAGCUACAUAAGAAGAAUUAUCCUACUCAUGCUCUUGAGUUAGCAGCAGUAGUUUUUGCCUUAAAGAUUUGGAGGCAUUAUCUCUAUGGAGUUCAUGUAGAUGUCUUCACAGACCAUAAAAGACUCCAGUAUGUCUUUUCCCAGAAAGAUCUCAAUCUUCGCCAGAGAAGGUGGUUAGAUCUCUUGAAGGAUUACAACAUGAGUGUUCUUUAUCAUCUGGGCAAGGCCAAUGUUAUGGACAACGCUCUCAAUCGACUCUCCAUGUGUAGUAUUUCUCACGUUGAGGAUAGUAAGAAAAAGAUGGCUCUGGAGAUCCAUCAUCUUGCCAGACUAGGCAUUCGCUUAGUCGAUUCUUCAGAGGGUGAUGUAUGUGCUCAUAGUAGUUCAGAGUCAUCUCUAGUUUCCAAGGUGAAAGAGAUACAAGACAGGGAUCCUAGCCUUGUCAAGCUCAAAGAGUCAAUUCAAAAUUAGAAAGUCAAGGUUUUCUCCCAAGGGGGAGAUGGUUUUCUUCGUAGUCAGGGUCGUCUAUGUGUUCCAAGUGUAGACGAAUUGAGGCAGCGAAUUGUUGUAGAAGCGUAUAGUGCGUGAUACUCUAUUCAUCCAGGGGCCACUAAGAUGUACCGGGAUAUACAGGAGAUCUAUUGGUGGAGUGGGAUGAAGAGAGAUAUUGCAGAGUUUGUGGCUAAGUGUUCUACAUGUCAGCAGGUUAAGAUAGAGCAUCAGAAGCCUAGUAGUUCCAUGCAAGAGUUCACCAUUCCUACUUGGAAGUGGGAAGAAUUUAACAUGGACUUCAUGACGGGUUUGCCUAGAACUCGCCAUCAACAUGAUUCAGUCUGGGUCAUUAUAGAUAGAAUGACCAAAUCAUCUUAUUUCCUUCCUGUUCGUACUUCUUAUUCCACCAAGGAUUAUCCCAAACUCUAUAUUAGUGAGUUAGUUAGGUUACACGGUGUUCCACUAUUUAUCAUCUCAGACAAAGGUACUCAGUUCACUUUUUACUUUUGGAAAGCGUUCUAAAAGGGUCUCGGUACCCAAGUCAAUCUCAUCACAGCAUUUCAUGCUUAGAUAAUGGUCAAGUAGAGAGGACCAUUUAUACUCUUGAAGAUAUGCUAAGGGCGUGUACAAUUGACUUCAAGGGAAGUUGGGAUGACCACUUGCCUUUGAUUGAGUUUGCAUUCAACAAUAGCUAUCAUUCUAGUAUUCAGAUGGCUCCAUUCAAAGCUCUCUAUGGUAGGAGAUGUAGAUCUCUGAUUUGUUGGUUUGAAGUUAGUGAGGCCUUAAUCAUAGGUCCUGACUUAGUAUUCGAUGCCUUAGAGAAAGUUCAAUUGAUUAGAGAGAGACUCUGAGCUGCUCAGACCCGACAGAAGUCCUAUGCAGAUAUUCUUAGAAAAGAUCUCGAGUUCGAGGUCAAUGACUAUGUCUAUCUUAAAAUCUCUCCCAUGAAGGGAGUGAAGAGGUUUAGCAAGAAAGGGAAAAACCCUAUUAUCAUCUCAAAUCUCAUCAUCCAAGAGCACUAAAAGAGCAUAACAACUAGGGUUGCGUAACUAAGCUUGAAAAUCUAAUUUCAAGAAAACUCCUCCGUCAAUCAUCAAGAAUCUUCCUUCUAAGGUAUGAGUGAGUUGAUUCAUGUACUCCUUUUGUCCAUGAAGCUCAAGAACCAUAUUCUAAAUUUUGUAUUAGGAUGUUUAUGUUGUUGGUGGUUGAUGUUCAUAUGGUUGGAGUCUGAUGAUGCCUGAGAUGGGAUCUUUGUAUGUUUAUUGUGAGGAUAUAGUGGUAUUUAACGUAUAAAUAUGUUAAAUUGGUGGUUGAAUAUUUGUAAUCUUGAUGAAUCCACCUAUGCCUAAGAUGUGCAUGUAAGGUGUUUGUGAAAAUACCUAAGGGAAUAGAAAUCACGCUUUUAUGACAUAAUAAGUCCUAAAUGUCUAUUCCAUGUUCUAAGUUUAUGUUCAACGUGAUCCCCAUGCUAUUGUCUUGAAUUGAAGAAGUUGUAUGAGAUGCUCAUGAUAUUGUUUUGAUAUGGAAUGACCAUGUUAUUGAAGCCAUGCAAGUAUAUACAUGUUGUGUGCAUUCCCGAUCAUGUGAUAGUUUGUUGAGAAUCAUUCUUAUUAUGAAAUCCUUACUUAUAAUAUUGUGAGUUGUGGACUCAAAUCUUGUGAUCAAGUCAUAUCAUGAGUGUCAGUUUCCUCCUAUCGAAUCCUGGGGAUACUUGUACGUGAAAACUAUAGCUGUGUGCCUAGAGCCAUGUCAUGUUUCACGAUAUCUGAACUCAAGCUAUGAUUUCAUAGACUUCAGUCAGUCAUAUGACUCAGGAAAACCUCAUGAUCUUAGUCAGUUGUCAGAUAUCAGUAACAUUUUGCCAGUCAACGAAAUUCAGUAAGAUUAAGUCAUGCUCAGUCAGUUAUUCAUGUCCAGUCCCUCCAGAUGAGAGUAGAGGUUAGCACCAAGUGAACCCAAGGAUGGGAACUCACCCGCAAGUUCAGGGUGUGAUUCUCAGUAGUCAUCCUUGUGUUCCAGAACUACGUAGCUAGCUUAGGUUGAGACAUCUUAACCUGUUAGAUUAGGGUUGAUAAGAUGGCUUAACCCGUCAGUUUAAGGUUCCCACCGUUCACUCACAGGUUGUCCUUACCCGUGGCACGGUAUUAACUCCCUUCCAGUCGGGACAGAGAUUGGACCCCAGCUUAGCCAUAACGGCAUACAUGGGGCAUGUCGGUUAAACACUACUUCCCACAGUUUCAGUAUCAGUCUCAAAAAAUAACUCAGGGCGUUCUUCACAUUUUACUGUCAGAUACAGUCGUCCAUGUUAUCAGUUUUAAUAUCAGUCAUGAUAGUUAUCAGUAAACCAUGUAUUAGCUUACAGAUCAUGCUAUCACGUAUUCACGGUCCCAGUUUCUAUAUAUGUGUGUUCACUCCCACAUUUAUAUUAGUCAGCCAGUGUUGUUCAUGCAUGAAACCCUUUAUGUUCAGCCUACCUUCCUCGUAUACUCAGUACUCCAGUUGUACUGACGCAUUUGCGCUAUGGUGCUUUCUUUUCAUGUUACACCAUAGGUUCCUAGACACGAGCUCCAGCCCAGCAGUAGCGGUUGCAUUCCAGUCGCAAAGACACAGUGAGUCCUCAUUGAUUCGAGGACAAUAUGAUUUGAUACAUUUACUUAUUUCUUUAGUUCAGUUUUAUGGAGUUAGUUGGAGACAUGUUCCUUCAACUCCUUAUUCAGAUAGUUUAGAGGCUUUCAGAUUUACGUUCAGACUUAGCUUUCAGAUUGAGUUGUUUUGGGUAUUUUCACCCAUAUGAUUUAAUUCAGUUGAACCUUAUGGCCUUAUAGUUCUAUGUAUUCCAUAUUAUUAUAUCAUGAUUUGCAGUAUACAGGUACAGAUAUCAAUCAUGAGUUAGCUUGUGGUCCCUUGGGGUCAUGAGCACUGUGUACCAUUUCGGUUCAGCGAAUCGGGGUGUUACACUGAAAGGGCCCUAUGUGUGUAGCCGUACGAACCAGAGAAUAUCCAUAUCCAUAUAUGGCAACCUCCUAGCAUAAUCAAGGUGACGUAGCACCAAUGUUUAUAAUAUAAGGGACGAAAACAUCCCAUUCAUAUAUUCAUUCGGGGGACUCAUACCUCCAGUCAUAUACAUACCCGCACUGACUAGCAUGAUUUCCAAUGAUAGUCCUUCGAACUCUACUUUCAUAUCCCGGCUACAUAUCCCUCUUUAAAUCCCAAUUAAAACAUUCUUUACACAUACAUACAAUCAAUAGUCCAAUUACUUACCAAAGUCAUUCCGUUGGUAUCGUCAUACAAACCCUACUUGCAAGCGUACAACAUUCUAUAACCAUUUUCAUUCAACAAUUAGGAUUCAAACCCAUUGUCUAUACAAAUGUAUCAAUUCAAUUCAACAUUUUGGGACUCAAACCCAUCUAUCCAUUUAAACCACCAAGUUUACAAUUUAAAUCAAGCCGACAAGGCAUUCAUGAAACCAUUUACCAACCAUUUAUAUUAUUUGGCCAAUGCCUUAGUUCAAAUCAAAAUUCAAUUUAAUUUACGGCCAUGAAGACCUUUACAAAACCAUUCAUCCUUCAUUAACAUUCUCAUGCCAAGCAUUGGUUCAAAACAUAAUCCAUCAUGCGACCAGAUUCUUCUCUUGGGCAUUUUCACAAAUAGGUUGAGGUCAUACAAUUAUUCAAGUCAAAAACCAUCAAGUUAUGGUUAACCAUGACCCAUUCAUUAAACCACAAUUCCCAUGCACCCAUAUGUUCAAAACCAUUAUCAAAAACAUAUAUAAACAUAAGUGAAAUCAUGAGAGAACAAUACUCAAGAUUAUUUAUUAAAACCCUCAACCAUGGAUUUCAAAACCACCAUUUAUGAUUCAAGAAUAAUAUUUAAAACACAUGAUUUUUGUGAACUAACAAUGAAGGAAUAUUCACAUGCUUGAGUUACAAAUUUUGAUCCUUAAUCCCCUAGAUGGCCACCUUGAAGAAACCCUAGACCAAUCUUCUUAAGAGAUUUUUAGAGAGUGUUUAGGGAGUGUUUUGAUUUUCAAAAGUGAAGAAUUAAAGGCCAAAAAGUGUUAUAAGAUCUAUGGUAUUAAAGUCUUGGGGUGGGAAAUGUACAAAAUACCCUCAGCUUAAAAGCUGUAAAAAGAACGCAGUAGGGUAUGGUUGGACCCCACAACUCGUAUCUACAUCAUACAAGUGGUACCCUCAAAUCAUAUCUUGAUUAUAAAUUUGGACACCACAUUCUUUCCGACAUAUGACUCCCUUGCCUAACUCUUACCCUCAUCAUACAACUAGUACCCUUCCAAUCGUACCCUAAGAAGAACAUUAAAGGCUAGACCAUGGACAAUAUAUAGUUUAGACCUUACCUCUCGUAUCGUGAACAUACAACUCUUAUGAUGCCUUCUCGUACCAAGAAUAGAACUUGUCCAAUAUGACACUGACCAUCAUAUGACUACAGUCCUAGACAUGUAUCCACAACAUACGACUAGUAUGGUUAGUCAUAUGAUCAACAGAAGGCUCAAACUCACAAAAUUUUGCAAGGGCCAAAGCCUGAGGCAUUUCAACUUCGAACCUAAUUAGUUUUCACAAGGUUUUGUAAUUAACUUGUCCUAAAUAACUAUACCAUAAAUUAUUUGACUCUAGCAAGUAAGAAGAAGACUAGCUUUCUUCAUUUCAACAGUCAGGACAUCAAGUUUAAAAAGACACUUAUUGAGGUCGCCUUCCUCCAUACAUUUCAUUCUUGCUUCUUACAACCUUAUCUGAAAUAUACCCAAUUAAACCCAUUUUUAACAUGAAGUGUUAUCGACACUAAGUUCUUCCUAAUAAUAGGAACAUCGAGAACAUUAUUGAGAGCCAACACCUUGAUGGAAGUCAUUUUUGAGAAUAGCUUUCCAUUUCCUUCAACCUUGCUUGUUGCAUUAUUUCCUAUAGAGAUCACUUCUUUGGGACCAGUAUAUCAUAAGUAGCAAAAAAUUCUUUGUCCGCACAAACAUGUCUAGUGGAUCCUGAAUCAAACCACCAUUCAUUUGGAUUUCUAACUAGAUUUCUUUAAGUGAUCAUAGCACAUAGAUUUUCAAUCUUUCCCAUUAUUUCCAAUAUGCUUAUCUAAUCUCUUUUCUUGUUCUUAUUCAGAACCUAAAUAUUUAGAGCUUUGUGACCAAUAUUGCUACAAUUGUAGCACUUGCCUUUGAACAUUUUCUUGUUUUGCGAUAUCUCUUAUCCGAAAGACUUUUUUAUCUUAUUAUUAUUUGGAGCAUAAUCCUUAACAGGAUUUGCAACCAUCAUUGAUGACUUUCCAUUCAACUCAUUAUCCUCUUCUACCUUGGGACGACUCACAAGAUCUAUCAAACUAGACAAUUAAUUUACAAUCAAUACUUUUUCCAAAAUAUGAGGAUCUAUACUUAUGAACAUUUGCAUUUCAAGUUUGGCCAGCCAAAAUGAUAUUAUUUUCUAUCAUUCUUUGAAGUUCACACCAAAAUACUUUUCCUAUUUCUUUACCAUUUCUAUAGUUAGAGCAAUAUCUAAACGGCUUAAUGAUGCAACAUUGUUUGUCAUUAUGACAACACCAUUCACAGUUGAAUUAAUUUUUUAUUCAAUUUCAUUUUUUAUUUACCUGUUAAUCUUUAGCAUACACUUAAGUACUUUAGAAUACUAACAAUAAAGACUUUAAUCUUUAAUCAACUUAUUUCUAGUCAGCGAUGAAGUUUUUAUAUCUUCAAAUCAUCAACUGAAUGAACUUUGAAACCUGAUGAAGUUUUUAUGAUCUCAAAUUAGAAUCAAAUUCAAAUAGAGUGAAAAUCCAUAGGUUUUAAACUCCAAAAACCAAUAUAGAGUGUUUACCAAAUCGAUGAAGUUUUUAUAUUCUUCAAACCAAAUUUCUGUACUAAUUUCUCAGUGAUGUUUUUAAAUUCUUCUAACCGAGGGAGUAGAAAUCAAAAGAUUUUAGUCACCACAAAAUCAGACCCAAUACAGUUAUCCAAGUACUAUAAAUGGUGAUAAAACAAAAUUUUUUCUUAAGAUUGUUGUUUUUCGGGUUUAGUAAAAUCUGUCUUUUUUCAAUAAUAACUUCAAGCACAUGUUCAAAUUAUAUGAGCAAUCAAAAUGAAGUUUAAAUUCUAUCUUUAAACCUUUGAACUUUUAGCAAUAAUUUCAACCUCAACUUAUGAACAACCAAAGUAAAGUUCAAACUAUUUUCUUGAAAAUAGAAAAAAAUUAAAUGUUAAGAACUUCAGCACAAGUUCAACCAACUUAUGAACUAUCAAAAAAAAGCUUCAAGAACUUCAAGCACAAGUUCAAAUAGUUGAAGAACUAUCAAUAUGAAAUUCAAACUUUAUUGUGGAAAAACAGUAAAACCAACUUUAAGAAAAUAGAUGAAACAGAAAGAUUCAAGUCCACGGAAUUCGCAGUGUAUCCUAAAGAAAAUUACUCCCCUUAAGUUUUUGAGGUUAUGGAACAUAUCUUCCCAUGAUAAAAUAAUUCACUUCGAUAGAAUAGAGGUACUACAAAUUCUGUCAAACUACGAACACAUUAAACGAUAGCAAAUCACACUAGAGUUUUUCAAGGAAGGGGAGUAUUUUUUUCAUCAAAAUUUCAUGUCUUUACCCGAGGAAAAAUUCAGGUAUUUAUAGUCAUCAAGGUGUUACUUCAUGAAAACAAGUAAUGGUGCAUAAAGGUGCAACCCAUCAUAAAGGUGCAACCCUUUAAAAAAGUGCAACUCUUCAGAAGAGUCAUAACCCAUUGGAAAGGUCAUAACUAUCCAAACCAAAAAAGUUCCUACUCAAGCACAUGCAUCAUUUCUCUUGGUGUCAUUUUGAAAAACCACCUAUUCAUUUUCCAUUCACACCUCUUAAAAACUCAAUAUUUAUUUUCAUUACUAUUGGCUUGUAUUAUUUGCUCAUGUUGAAUUUUAAAAUCAAUCCACGCCAUUAUCGUAUUAGAGUCUUUUGAUAAUGCCCUAGCUACACCUUUAAUCUAAAUAUUAUGUGGUCGCUGAAAAAUAUAGUAACCCGACAGAGGUUGGGGUCGAAUCCUAAGGGAAGACGUGGAAUUGCAACUUUCAGUUAUUGUAAUCAUGGAAAAAACUAGAAAAGUAAAUAGGGGGAUUGUAGUGUCAAUAUUGAACAAGUAGAUAGUAUUAACUUUGGUUGUGAUUAGUCAUCGGUGAAUAAUAGGAUUGUGUUCCCGUGGCUUCUCAACUUCGUAGGGUUAUCAUGCUUUAUUAGACCAACCCAAUACCUUGCAUGCAGAAUCUGAUAACUUAUAUACCACCAACCAUCUUUUGGGCUAGCUGACAGAUUUUACCCAUUACCUUUUGAGUUUUAGGAUGUCUCCUUACUAAUCAUUAUCCUAGAUCCUAGGUAACUAUUACCUUUUGAGUCUCUAGUUAUUAGAUGACAACACACUAUCUUACUUAGACAAUACCUAGUAGUGUGGAUCAAUAUUUAAACUUCAAAUUACUAUUGUAAUUAUCUUUUCCUACUCACUACUCCUCUUUUGGAGUAAGUAGCAAUAAUCUAGGCAGGUAACAUUUGUAACUGCUAAGAUAUCUAUUAAAGUGAAGAUAAUACAAUACAUGCAUGGGUAUCGGUUCAGAAUAACAAAGUAUUUUCCCUACUUUGUCAAUUCGCUAGGGUUUCCACAACCCUAGCUAAGGGUUUUUAGCCGCUCAUACUUGUGAAGUAAUCAACAACGUUCAUAAUUGAAAGCAUAAGAUGUAAUCACAAUAUUCACAACUGAAAACCUAAAACUUUAAAUGAACUAAUCAACCAAAAUCAAUACAAGAGAAUUUCAAGACCAAAAUUGGAUCUCAAAAUCAAAAUAUGUUUGUAAGUAUCAAGAGUGCAUCACUUUUACUAAAAACACAUAAAUGGUAUGUAUAGUAAGUACAUAUGGAAACCUUAAAAAUCAAAGCCUAAAUAAAAAAGGACAAAAAGGGUUGGUGGCCACUUACCUAUGUCUAUAGAUAGUCAGGAAGUGGGUGCAUAUGCCACAUGUGGUUCGAAUGUGGACCUACGUAAGUGCCAAAAAAAUUUCCUGCACUAUUCAUUCUCGGGAAUUUAGAAUUAUAGUACUUACUAUACCCAUAUGUGAUCCACAUGUAGACAUAGGUACGUGCCAUAAGUUCUUCUUCAGCUCUUGCACCCUCUGGAUAUUUAAUUCUGGAACAUACCUUAAUCACAUACGGACCACAUAUGCUAAUGUGGUCCACAUGUAGAUAUAGGUAAGUAGUAGGCCUUCAAAUUCUUGCAACCAAGCUUCCUAACUUCAAGUUUCAUCAUAUUUUUGGUCACAUACAUUCGGUAAGUGCUACUAUAAUAGCCCAAAAGUACCCCUGGACGUCACACGGUACUCGAGACUACGAACAAUCCCAAGUUAACCCUUUAACCCUACUUAACUUGGAACUCAUUAGAAAAGUAAACUGACAUAUAAAAUCUAAUGAUAAUCAAAUUGAUAUCUUAAUUGGAAGUCUUUAACUUAGAAAUAUUUAAACAGACACUUUUGAACUUAAAACAGAAACAGUCAGACAAGCCUCUACUUCUAACUAGAGAGCCACUGGGAAAGACCCCAGCUGACAUGAAUAUAAAUAGAAAUCAAAUAACUAAAACACUUUAUCAAUAUCAAAGUAUGAUAAACUAAGUCCUCGGACUAUGAGGAAAGUUGGGAUGUAGGUGGUGAUGUUCGUAGUCAAUCGUGCUGCUGGAAUUGAGCAUCAGAACCAACAUUAUAAGACAAUGUAGAACAUAGACAUCUAUGUGGGUCAGUACCUCUGGAAUGUACUAAGUAUGUGGGCAUUAAUGCAUUAGUAAAACAAUAACUAAAUAUUCAGAUAAAUUUCACUAAUUCAUGCUAAGUGUAAAUGACUCACCUUGAGCUUGAAUACAAUAAAGAUUGCAAAAUCAUUAAUAUUAGUAAUGAAAUAUAAGAGUAAACUCUGUGAUCCAUAACACUUAGUUUCUAAGAGCUUUACUUAUUAUUUUUUUUCCUUUAUUAGGGAGGUUUUUCUAUCCGACAUAACCAUGUAAGCUAUCAUGGAGUCCAACGUCUUACCCGCAUUGGGGAUAGUUGUUCUGCCCUUGCCAUCAAAAAAGAACCUUAACUUAAGUGAUUAAUAUACUUAACCCAUAUUGGGACUUAAACCUAUGGUGGCUUGGAGUUUCUAGGAAUUAAGGAUACGCUCAUCCGCAUUCCCUUCUCGGUGCUAAAUACAACUCCCGUAUUACUUAUAUGUUCAUACUUUAGGAAAAGCACCUUAAAAUAGAAUAAGGUUUAGUAUACUAGAACCAAUUAUGCUUUUCUUUGCUUUAAAUCAUAAGUAAGGUGAACAAUUGUGGAUUUCAAGCCUUGUCAAUGAAUCAAAAGAUCAAACUUUUCUGGUAAACUUAGUACUUAAACUUAAUCCUUAAAUCUCAUACUUUCUUUUAUAUAACUUGUAACACAAUAUCAUGCUUAAAACUCAAUUGAAAAUCUUUAAUCAAUGUUCAAAUCAAACUCAUGAUAUAAAAACCAUAAUAGAGAAUCUUCAAGUCAAACACAAAUAGAUAAGAACAUGUAUGCACUUUAAUUCUUCAAUCAUAUGCUAAUCUCAUAAACUCAAGACAAGAUAGUUUGGGUAUGAACCCUAAUUUGCAAAUCAUAUAAUUUUAACUUUAAACCAAGUUUUGAGUAUAAGGAUGAAAGAAUAUCCUAGUGCAUAAACCCUACAUACCUUAAUUGACCAAAUUCUUGAAGAAAUCUUGAAAAUGUGACUUAAAUCCUUGUGUUCUUGAGAGAAAAAUCUUGAACUUUGCUCUUGGGAAAGGGUAAGGGUUUCUAGUGAGAAAUUUUGAAGAAGAUAAGCAAAUAAUGCCCUCUUAAAUGUCCCAAAUUGUGUUUUGGAUUACUUGGGUUGAGGGAAAAGGACCAACUAGCCUUGGACUCUUUUUCCCAUGUAAAUAACCCUCGUGGCUCGAACCCUAGUAUCAAGAAUAUCCCUCGCAAUGCGAGCCCCAGAAAGGUAGAAUAGCCCUCGCGGCACGAGGCUAUCGUGGCCCCUUACUGUUUCUCAUGAAAAUGGUCAUAACUUUUCUCUCGGGUAUCGGAUUAAGGCAAAACCGGUGUCAUUAGAAAGCUGACUCAAUUAUCUAUCAUUUGGUCAGUAUUGAGAUGAAAACUUAGACCUAUGUUAGAAGUUAUGCACGUUAAAAGUUUCCUCUUGUAGAACCAAAUACCAAAAUUUGGCUGAAUCAAAGCCUUAGUUCAACCUUGCUUAAGUGAUUACUAUGAACAUUUCUUACCGCAUAAGCACUCAUACACUAGGAUAAUGAUCAUGACACAUAUAUUAAAAUGUAAAUCACGAGAUUAGAGUUUACACACGUAGGAAUGAUGAUUCAAAGUCUAACUUGAAAAUGCGGGGUGCUACAUUAUCUCCCACUUGGAAUCAUUCAUCCUCGAAUGAAAAUCAUUAACCUAACCUAAGAUACUAAGGAGUCUAAGAGUCUAUACUGAAUACUGAUAAACAUGAUACAUGCUACAUGGGAUGAACUGAUUUCAUGAAUGCAUGUUGUGGCAUGAGAAUAGUUGUAUAGCUGAAAUAGAAGUUGGAAAGAGUUAACCUAAAGAAAAUUAUUACCUCAAGAUGAGUCUGAAUUUAUGAAGAAAAGAUGAGGAUACCGGGCUCGCAUAUAAGUUUUUGCUUCCCAAGUAGCUCCCUCAACUGACUUAUUUCUCCAAAGAACUUUAACCAAGUAAACUUCUUUAUUCCUUAGCCUAUGAAUCUAACAAUCAAAAAUCUCAACUGGGACUUCUUCGUAGGAAAGGCUAUCCUUAACAUCCAUAUUUUAUAAAGGAACAAUAGAAGUUGAAUCACCAAUGCAUUUCUUUAACCAAAAAACAUGGAACACCGGGUGAACUGAUGCCAAAUCUGCAAGCAACUCCAGUUCAUAAGCUACCUUCCCAAAAUGGCUCAAAAUUCUAUGUGGGUUAACAUAGCCGGGACUGAGCUUCCUCUUCUUACCAAAUCUCUUUACACUUUUCAUAGGGGAAAAUUUUCAAAUGGACCAAGUCACCAACAUCAAACUCAAUAUCCCUUCUUCUCAUAUCUGCAUAAAAUUAUUGAUGACUUUAGGUUAUCUUCAGCCUCUGUCGAAUCAACUACACUUUCUCUAUAGAUUCAAACACCAUAUAUGGCCCUAUCAAAGUAAUUUCAAACCAACCAAUAGGUGAUCUACAUCUUCUCUCAUAGAGAGACUCAAAAGGAGCUAUCUGAAUACUGGAGUGAUAACUAUUAUUGUAAGAGAACUCAACAAAGAUAAGUAGUCAUCCCAACUGCCCUUAAAGUCAAUAACAUACGCCCUCAGCAUAUCCUCUAAAGUCUGAAUGGUCCUCUCUUCUUGGUCAUCUAUCUAAGGAUCAAAGGUUGUACUGAGGUGAACUUGGGUACCAAGACCCUUCUGGAAAGCCUUCCAAAAGUGAGAGGUAAACUGAGUACCUCUAUCUGAAAUAAUGGACAAUGGAACCCCAUACAAUUUCACCAACUCUUUAAGAUAAAGCUUGGCAUAAUCUUCAACUGAGUACAAAGUAUGAACUAGCAAGAAAUGGGCCGACUUGGUCAUUCUAUCAACAAUAAACCAAAUCAAAUCAUGCUGAAAAGCAUACGAGGCAACCCUAUUAGAAAAUCCAUAUUUACCACCUCCCACUUCCAAGUGGAGAUGCUAAACUCCUGAAGUGUACCACUAGGCCUUUGGUGUUAACUUUAACCUGUUGAUAAUUUGCAUACUUAGCCGCAAACUCAGCAAUAUGUUACUUCAUACCACUCCACCAAUAGAUUUCCCACAAGUCACAGUACAUCUUAGUGGCUCUAGGGUGAAUAGGAUACUGCGCACCAUGUACUUCUUCUAAUAUUCGCUAUCUCAAACCAUCAAAAUACGAAACGCAUAGCAUGCCUUGACAAUGAAUAACACCAUUUCCCCCUUGUGAGAAAACUUCCACCUUAUGAUCUCUAACCACCUCUUUUAAUUUAACCAAACUAGGAUCCUUAUCCUACUUUUCUUAUACUUUGGCAAUUAAUGAAGAUUCCAUACCAUUCUGAACCCACGUACUACUUCUGCCAAAUCAACUAACCAAACAGCUAACCUAGCAAGUUGAUGAACCUCACAGACUAAUUUUUUUUAUCAUCCUCAACAUGGGAAACACUACCCAUAGACAAUCUGCUAAGGGUAUCUGCCACUAUAUUGGCCUUUCCUGAAUGAUACAACACACCAUACCGUAGUCCUUCAACAACUCAAGUCAUCUUUUCUUACGAAGAUUUAGGUCUUUAUGCAUGAAUACAUACUGUAAACUCUUGUGAUCUGUGAACAUAUCAACAUAAACCCCAUAAAGAUAAUGCCUCAAAAUUUUUAAGGCAAAGAUAACAGCUACCAACUCAAUAUCAUGGGUCGGAUAAUUCUUUUCAUGGGGUUUAUGCUAUCUAAUGGCAUAGGCUAUGACCUUACCUCUCUGCAUCAAAAUAUAACCUAGACCAACUCUUGAAGCAUCACACUAUACUAUGAACCCAUCAAGGCAUCUGGCAAAGUCAAGACUGGAGCGUAAGUGAGUCGAGUCUUUAAUUCCUGAAAACUCUUCUCGCAGGAAUCUGACCAUUAAAAUUUGACCUUUUUCUGGGUUAGCCUAGACAUGGAGGAAUCACUAGAAGAGAACCCUUUAAAAAGUCAUCGGUAAUAGUCAACCAAACCCAAGAAAAUCCUGAUAUCAGAAGGAGAGAUAGUUCUAGGCUAGUUUUUCACUGCCUCAGUCUUUUGAGGAUCAACUUAAAUUCCAUCACCAGAAAUAAUAUGCCCAAAGAAAGCUACUAAUCUCAAUAAAAAUUUGUACUUACUAAACUUAGCAAAUAACUGAUGAUCUUUAAAGGUCUGACAUAACCCUCAGAUGGUCUCAAUGGUCAUUUUCACUACGGGAAUAGACAAAGAUGUCAUCAAUGAAGAUUGUGACAAAUAUGUCCAAGAAAGGCUUAAACACCCUGUUAAUCAUGUCCAUGAAAACUGCAGGGGAAUUUGUUAUUCUAAAAGACAUAACUAAAAAUUCAAAGUGACCAUACCAAGUUCUGAAGGUUGUCUUCGGAAUGUCACAUGCUCUGAGUCUAAGCUGAUGAUAGCCGAAUCUGAGAUCUAUCUUGGAGAAAUAACUUUCAUUUUGAAGCUGGUUGAAUAAGUCAUCAAUCCUGGGAAGAGGAUAUUUGUUCUUGAUUGUGACUUUAUUCAACUGGAGGUAGUCGAUGCACAUUUGGAGAUAACCGUCUUUCUUGCGUAUGAAAAGGACUGGAGUGCUCCACGAAGAGACACUGGGCCUUAUGAGACCUUUAUCUAAGAGGUCUUUAAGUUUCUUUUUUAACUCUUUAAGCUCGACCGGAGACAUAUGAUAUGGAGGGAUGGAGAUGGCCAGAGUAUCAGGGAGAAGAUAAAUACUAAAUUCUAUUUCUCUAUCUAGAGGUACCCCUGGCAAAUUUUUAGGAAAAACCUCGGGAAACUCGUUGACUACAUGGACUAACUGAACUAUUGGAGCUUCAGACUUAGUAUCUUUGACAUGAACUAAAUGAUAGAUGCACCCUUUUGAUAUCAACUUUCUGGCCUUAAGAUAAGAUAUGAAAUAACCUUUGGGAGACACAGAACUACUUCCCAUACAAAACUACCUCAUCAUGAAAUUGAAACUUCACCACACGGGUGUGACAAUCUAUUAUGCAUAACAUGAAUGGAGCCAAUCCAUGCCUAGAAUGACAUCAAAAUAUACUAUUUCUAACUCUAUUGGGCCUUCUAGUAUGAUCUUAUGGAGGACAGUAAUAGGAUAUUUCUGAUAGACUCUUCUGGCAACAACUGACUUACCCCCUGGGGUAGAUACUAAGAAGGGUUUAGAUAUCUUUUCAGGUCCUAUCCUAAAAUUUACCGCAAUUAAUGGGGUUACAUAAGAGAGAUUUUAUCUCGGGUAUAACAACACAUAAACAUCAAGAUAAAAGACAUAAAGCAUAUCACUGACCAUAUCUGGUGAACUCACUUUCUCCUAAUGGGAUGGUAAAGCAUAAAAUCAAUUCUGGCGUUGACCGCCACCGAUACUGAAUGACGCACACAGCGAGAGAACUAAGCGACUUGGCUGAGCUGGUGCAUUAGUAACCUGAUUCUGAGAACGAACAUCCCUGUUGCCCUGCUUAGUAUACGGACACUCUUUGAUUCCGUGGCCCAACUUGCGACACCCAUAACAACCUCUUUUGCCAAUCAAAUACUCACCAGGAUGGGUCCUGUCAACAAGAUGAUGUAACUUUGUUAGUUACAUUAGUUUAUACAAAGUGCAGUUCAGGAGAAAGGCAAGUUCUAUGGGAUUCAUUAUUAGACAUGGCUGAUUUUCAAUAGCCUUGGCUAAUAGGAGGGAAUUUUAAUGUAAUAAGAAAUGAAGAAUAAAAAUUGGGGGGAUUACUAGUUACACUGAAUGAAACUCAGGAUUUUAAUCAGUGUAUAAGUUUAUGCAAUUUAGAAAAGAGAUAAUACAUAGAAACACCCCGAAACUUGUAGCCAAAACUUACUUUAGACCCUAAACUUGUAUGGAAAUUAUUUACCCCCCUUAACAACUUUAAAGUAAAAAUGUUUACCACCCUAAAAAAUUAUACCACUCUCACUACGGAGAGGGAAGUACACACGCCCCACGUCUUUGCCAACUCAGUGCCAUGUCAUUGCCACGUAAGAAAUUAUAAUUUUUUUAAAAGAAGUAAUCCAACACACAUAUUAUUGUUAUAUAUAUUUUUUAAAAAAUAAAUAUAUAAAUUAUUUAUAUAUUAUUUUUUAUAUAUAUAUAUAUAUAUAAAACCCCCCCCACCCCAUUCCUCCUCCUUCUUCUUCUUCAAUAGCCCACCCCACCCCCAUCGUUCCUCUUUCUCCUUAUGCUUUAAUAGCCCCCCACCCCCACCCCCUCUUUCCUCCUUCUCCUUAUGUUUCAACAUUCCCUGCCACCAUUAACACCAAUAACUUUCACUUAAUUAAUGACUCACCGAAAAAUACCUACCUUCACCAUGAACCACCCUACAAAUUCCCCCAAAUCACCUAAAAACACCACAACCACCACAAAAAGAAUCUCAAAAUCUCAAGAAUCCCACAAAGUCUUCACCGAAAAUGAUUUCACCAUUAAAACCAUUAACAUCAUUAUUUCACCAUUAACAUCAUAAACACCAAUAACUUGAUACAACAAUGCACCCCAACCCCCCUCCCUUCCCCGAUUCCUUUUCUUCUUCUUUAACAGUCAAAUCCCCCCAUUAACAUCAUUAUUUCGACCUUCAAUUUUAGCUUCCUCCUAAUUUUUAAUAGUGAAAUCCACCAACUCAUUCACCUAAUUAUUCAUCAAAUUUGGGAAGUGGAUCAAUUUAAAGUGAAUGACAAAUUAGAGAAGAAAAAAUUUCUAAUAGAGCCUUUUUCAGUGUGGUUGACCAUCUCCGAUAGGUGGUUGACUAUCUCCGAUAUGUGCCACCAACUCAGUGAAUGAUUGUUUUUGCUCUAUUCAAUAACCCUUUGAUUUAUUUUUGCUCUAUUCAGCAACCCUUUAGCUCAAACAUUGAAAGAAAUUAUAUGUGAUCUUUGUUUUUUUGCUUGUGCUUCUGUAAUGUAGAUAUGACCAAACAAGAAAGCUAUUUUUUUUCAAGAGUUCGGAAAAUGUAUUGUGGUGAUGAUUUGCUUACAAAAAUAGAGUUGUUACGAAGAAUAAAAAAUGGAGUUGUUGGGGUGGGGAAGGGGAUUGUUAUGAAGAAAAAAGUGAAAGUUGACUUCUUUUUUUUUUCUUUAGAUUUAUAUAUAUAUAAUUUGGGAAAUUUAAAAGUUGGGACCCACUUCUUUUAUUUUUUUAAAGACAUUAACGCGCUGAUUUUUAAAAAAAUUGCUACGUCAGUAAUUAAGGUGGUAAAAAAUUCACUUUAAAGUUUUUAAGGAAGGUAAAUAAUUACUCGAUUAGUUUAGGGUCUAAAGUAAGUUUUGGAUACAAGUUUAGGUGUGUUUCGAUGUAUUAUCUCUUUAGAAAAACCUUAGUUUAAAGAAAGUAAGUAUACUUGGUGGAAUGGUAGAACAGAUGAUGCAUUUAUAUUUAAAAGGUUGGAUAGGGUGUUGUUCAAUGAUAGAUUACAUAAUUUGUUUCAGACAUUAGAGGUGGAACAUCUUCCUAGAAGUGGUUCUGAUCAUGCUUCUUUACUGAUUCAAUUUAAGAUGGAGAAAGGCAAGUAAUCAGAUCUUUUAGAUUCCUAAAUCUAUGGUUGAAGGAUUAGACAUGUUUGGAAGUGAUAAAGGACAAUUGGAAAGAAGAUAUAAGUGGUAAUCCUUUCAUUGUGUAUCAUCAUAAAAUGAAGAAAGUUAAAUCAGCAUUGAUAAGAUGGAGCAAAGAGGCCUUUGGAAACAUAUUUCAGGAAAUUGCCACUUUGGAAGAUGUUCUGAAAGUUAAAGAAAAGAAAUUUGAAGAGAUGCCUGAUGGAGAAAAUAGGGAAGCUUUGAGUAAAGAUCAGGCUGAAUUAAACCUUCAAUUAAAGAGAGAGAAAGAAUUUUGGAAGCAGAAAGCAAGAUAUGAAUGGUUUAAAGAUGAAGAAAGAAAUACAAAGUUCUUUCAUGCAAUUGUCAAAGGAAGGAGAAGCAGAUUAAGAGUUGGGAGGAUAUAGAAUGAAGAAGAGAUAUGGAUAGAAGAAGAACAACCAAUAGCAGAUGCAGCAGUAGAUUUUUUCCAGAAACAGUUCACUAAGCAGGAAGAUGCAGAGAAUUUUACCAUGCUAGAUGAGAUACCGACGUUGGUAACUGAUGAGCAGAAUAGGGAUAUUCAGAAAAUUCCUACUGAAGAUGAAGUAAGAGAAGUAGUAAUAGGGUUAAAUAGGAAUAGUGCAAGGGACUUGAUGGAAUGAUAGGAGCAUUCUUUCAAGAUGCAUGGAACAUUAUCAAGGAGGACAUACAUAGAAUGGUAAUUGCCUUCUUUUGUGGUUAUCAGAUUUCAAGAUUCAUUACUUAUACUAAUUUGGUGUUGUUACCAAAAAAGUUAGUAGUGAAUACUUUUUCAGAUAUAAAACCAAUUUCCCUGAAUAAUUUUAUGAAUAAAAUUUUCUCAAGAAUUAUUCAUGAAAGGAUCAAAGGAAUUCUACUCAACCAAUAUCACCUGAGCAAGCAAGUUUUGUAUAGGGGAGAAGUAUUGCUGAAAAUAUUUUGGUGGUUCAGGAGAUGGUAUCAGAAAUAAGAAAGAGGGGUAAACCACCUAACAUGGUUAUGAAGUUAUAUAUGAUGAAGGCUUAUGAUAGGGUUGAAUGACUUUUUUUUAAUAAAGGUGUUGAGAAAAAUGGGUUUUUCAGAAAUGUUGAUAAACAUGGUGUUUAGGUUGUUAGAGAAUAACUGGUAUUCAAUAUUACUGAAUGGGCAGCCUAAAGGAUUUUUUAAAUCAUCAAGAGGUCUGAAAUAAGGAGACCCUCUAUCACCUACUUUGUUCAUUAUGGCAGCUGAAUUUUUGUCUAGAAAUCUGAAGAAAUUGAUGCUGGAAAAGGAGUUUAAGUUGUUUGGUAUGCCAAGAGGGAGUCCUAAGUUAAAUCACUUGGCUUUUGUAGAUGAUAUGAUAAUUUUAUGCAAAGCUGAAGUGAAAACUAUGCAGAUGGUAUUAAUACAUUGGAUGGAUAUGAAAUGUAUCUGGGCAGAAGAUAAAUAAGGAAAAGAGUGCUAUUUAUUUACGUAGAAGGGUGUCAAAUGGAAUAGGAGUUAUGGCAGAAGUGGCUAUAGGCAUCCUGAGGAAAGACUUUCCUUUCAUGUACCUUGGUUGUCCCAUAUUCUAUAUGAGGAAUAAAGAGUAUUAUCAACAAUUGGUGAAUAGAAUAGCAAAUAAGGUACAGACAUGGAAAGGAAAACUUCUAUCAUAUGGAGGUAGAGCAGUAUUGAUCGAGCAUGUAUUGCAGAGUGUUCCUAUACAUUGCUUGUCAGUAAUGAACCCCCCUCUAAAUGUCUUGAAUUAUAUUCAAAAAAUUAUAGCACAAUUUUUUUGGUACAGCAGAAUAGGGGGAAAGGGAGCUAUUGGGUGAAGUGGAAAGAUGUGUGUUUUCCACAAAAAGAAGGGGGCCUAGGAUUUAGAAGAAUUUCUGAUAUCUCUGUGGCAUUAUUUUGUAAAAUAUGGUGGACUUUUAGAACAUCUUCCAUCUGGAGUGAGUAUAUGUAUAACAAGUACUAUAAAAAGGAGUAUCCAAAUAUGGUGAUAUGAAAAAUUGGUGCAGGGGGAUCCCAAAUGUAGAAAAAGAUGUUAAGUGCUAAAGAUAUGGUGGAAUAUUUAAUAGUAUGGCAACUAAGAGAAGGGAAUGCUAAUUUAUGGUUAGAUAAUUGGACUGGUCAGGGGGAUUUGUAUUCACUAUGGAAGGGAACUGGGAUGAAAAUUUGGUUACAAGUAUGCUCUCACUAGAUAUGGUUGAACAUAUUUUAACCAAAGUACAUCCACCAAAGGGAGAAGGACAGGAUAGUGUUGUAUGAAGUAUAGAAUCAAAUGGAACAUUUAUAGUGAAGACUGCUUGGCAAUAUAUCAGGAAUAAAGGACAAAUGAGUAAGAUAUACAGGAAUAUUUGGAUUAAAGGGAUGCCUUUUAAAAUAUGUUUUUUUAUGUGGAAGUUAUGGAGAGGCAAAAUUCCUGUGGAUGAUUGUGCAAGAAAAUGGGGAAUGCAUGGUCCAUCUAAAUAUUGAUGCUGUGAAGAGCCUGCAGUGGAGACAAUCACCCAUGUCUUCAAAAGAUCAUAUUAUGCUAAUAGGACUUGGUCCUAUUUUUCUUCUUUUACAGGUAUUUCUAUUCAGGAACUAACUCUAAGUGGUACUAUUAUCAAAUAGUGGGAAUUUUAGGUGAAAAGGAGAGUUCAACCAUAUUUUCAUGCACUACUUAGCAUUAUUUUAUGGGAGAUAUGGAGGACAAGAAACAGAAAGAAACAUGAUAAUAAGAGUACAACAGGAUUGAGGUUGAUUUAUAAUAUAACAAAGGCUUUAAGGUUGUUGUUGAUGGUCAGAAACCCAGCAAGAAGUUUUCCUACUGAUUGGCCACAAAUAUUGCAGGAAUUAGCCAAACAUAGGAGCAAGAUCAAGGUUACUAAAGUGAUGUGGGAGGAACUAGAAGAGGGAUUGAUGAAAUACAAUACAGAUGGAGCAUUCAGAGGGGAAGAUGGUGAAAGCUCAUAUGUUUUCUGUUUGAGAAAUAAGAAGGGUGAUAUUAUAUAUGCUAAAGCAGAUCCACAACACUAUGCAGAUAGUUUACAAGCAAAGGCACAUGCAAUUUUAUAUGCAGCAAGCACUGUAAACAAUCACAGUUAGACAAGAUAAUCAUUCAAAUGGAUUUUCUUAUUUUGACGAGGAUAUUAACAGGAAUAUGGAAAUAUCCAUGAAGCAUUGCAAACAUAGUAAAGGAGAUUGAGCAAUACAUCCAAGGAAAGCAAGUUAAGUAUCAACACAUUUACAGGGAAGGGAAUCAGUUAGCUGAUCAUAUUGCAAAUGUAGCCAUUGACACAGGAGAGGUUAGCAUCACUAGUUUUCAGCAGCUAUAACAGAAAGGAAAAUCCAUACUUAAUAGUGAUAAAUGGCAAUGCCCCUACUUGAGAAUUACACCCAUAUGCAAUUAAAGGGCAAGAGAAGUCUUAGGCAGCAAAGUUUACAUGCAGCAUAUUUACAGGAAUUAAAAACAACAAAAGGAGAGCAUGUAGCUAGCCUACUCUACUACAACCAACAAAAUGGACUCUCAGCAUCAUGGGAGGAUCUAUUGAUCGAUUUGAGAUUUUUAAACCUGAGUGUCAAGUAGGUAUCAGUAUCUUAGUGGGUCCAAGCAUCCUCUAUCUUCAUUCCUCCCAGAUCUGAAUAUCAUAGGAUAAAAAUAGUAAGGUACAGAUGCAGAGUGAAGAUGCAAGCUUAAAAAUAGAUGAAGGAAUAUUCACUUGAAGGUAGAAACUUCACACAAUUGAUUAGAUCUCUCAGAGCUGAUCAGAAAGCGGGUCAAGGUCCCAUUCACUGGAGAACUCAGCUACAGAAGGUGUUUCGUCAGUCGGAACUUAAUAAGAAGCAAAUGUAUCAACAUAAAGGAAAUCUUACUUACUUUUGUAAGUUGAAUAAGAAAGCAGGACCUGAAGAUGAAGGCACCUGGUUGAUUAUCCAAAGAAGAAGGCGGUGGAACUUAAGGUAGAAGAAAGGCAGAUUCAUUUUGACAGGAGGCUAGAAGAUGAGAGAGAUUAGGAAAAUGGAUGUUUUUGGAAACCCU